CGCGAUAAAGGUAGAAAAUUUAGAUGGUAUUAAUUUUGAUAUGGAUCACCGUUGAGAACUUUGCCUGAGGUAUUAAAUUCUAUUUUCCCUCUUUAGAAAUGUUUCAUGUAGCUCCUAAUUGUGAUGCUUCAUUUACAUAUUUUUAAAAUUUUAUCUUAUAAUAGGGAUAAAGUGUGUCCGAGUCAAUUUGAUGUUACAGACUUGCAGCUAACUGUUGUGCAUUAUAUAAUUGCAUAUUUUUUAGACACCAGAUAUGGCCAAGUUCCAUCUACAAUGUUAACAGAAUCUUUGAUAGGUAAAGGAGGCAGACAAAAAAGCUAAACAUCUUUUUUCUUCCGUAUAGCUCCCAGGCAAUUACACUGGGCAAUGCUUGAUAUAAGGGCUUCAAAUAUACAUUUGCAGGGUGUUUAUCGUAUGAGUAAGGAAAUCACUGUCUUCGCUCCCCAGCAGACAGUGAUUGGAAGAUCCAUCCUCGCAUCACUUAGCACCUUCCAGCAGGCAAGCCUUUAUUUUUAAAAAUCUUCUCUUGCAUAUACUUUUGCAAUUUUAAACUUCAUUUUGAAUUGUGUUGUUGCUAACUUAAACAUGUUUUGUGCUUAAUCAGAUGUGGAUUUUGAACGGUGAGUACGACAAGUCUGGUCCAUCCAUUGUCCACAAGAAGUGCUUCUAAGGUGCUGCUGCUAUUUUUACAUCUGUUCGCAAGUUCUUUUUUAUUUUUUUGUUCUUCCCGCUAAAGCUAUUAUGUCGUCCACAGUGAACGCAUGUCUGCUGCUAUAGCCAAGUCUUUGAGAUGGGGUUAUCAAAGAAGGGCAAUUAAAAACAUUGUACCGCUGAUACUAUUUCAUGUUUCUAGUGCAAGCCUCUUUUAUAAGUUGACAAACUCGAUUUGUAAAUAUGUUUGGGACUCAACUAGUGGUUAGAGUUCUGAUUUUAUAAGAUUUGUGUACAGAAAAUCAAAGUAGAAAGAUAACUCGUGAUGGUUGAAUAAGCUCGAAGAAGUGGAUUUGAAUUUCAAAUCGUGUCUUUUUUUUUUAUGUGUGUGAGAUGUUUGAAGUGUUGUUUAGAUUUGUUGGAAUAGUCUAAAGAGAUUGUCUCUAUAAAAUUUGAAGACAUUUGAUGGAGAUCUGAUUAGAUGAUUUUGAACAACAAUUGCAACUGAAGAUGGAUAUGUAUAUUAUAUUUGUAGUUAGCAACGUGUUGUAUAUUUUUAUAGUCGAUAUAUUGUUUUCUCAUUCGGUGUUUGGUAUCCAUAUUGGAGUUUGACUAAAUUCGGAUUUCCUCAUUUCAACGGGCGGUGCUCUUGACAUGAUUUUUUCCAUUCCACGGCUCAUGCUCCAAAAUUCUAAUUAAGGAUAGAAAAAUCUCAACUAUCUCACCACAACUCAUAUCAGUUAUAUUGGGUAUACAAGUGUAAACUAAUAAUACUAUGAAACUAAUAAUAUUUAAUUUAUUUUAGAGGUAAGAUAAGGACAAAAUGGUAAUCCAACUUAGAGGUUAGGAGCUUCACACUUGUAAUAAUACUAAUAUAAUAUAUGGGCACGUGUGUUCCCAGUUACUUUUUAUAUAUAGAUACGUUAGAAUGAUUACAAUUUUAUGAAAGAAUGCGUGUAAUUAGUAAUAAAAUACAACAAUUACAAAUUAAUCUUUAAGAGUUUGACAAGAAACACCAAAUGAGAGGUGAAUUUUAAUGUUUAAAAUUAAUUAAGCAACCAACAUAAAUUUUGAACUAUAAUUGGUAGUUAGCAAACUUCCAAUAAAAUCACAAAGGGCUAAUUUGAGCUCAACAAAGAUAUACACACUUACUACAAUAAGAAAUUAAUAGAAAAUUAAAUUAAAGAAGUUUAAUGGAAGAGAAAACACACAAAAAGAUAGAGAAGGAAAAAAUACAACAUACACAUUUUUUUUAAGACUUAUAUCAUAACAAUAUAGAUGGAAAAAGAAGUACAAUACAUAAUUUUCAAGUUCUUGUGGAGGCUUAAUUAUCCAUAACCAAUCAAAAUUCAAAAGUCAUCUUCGUCGAGUCAAACUAAAACAUGAGCCAAAUAGUACAAUAAUGAUAUAAGUCGUUACUUUAACUAUAGAAUGAAAAUGAUAAUAUUCUUGAGUAGGGGUCUCAUGAAACAAAAAAAAAAUGAAUUUAUAUAGAUAAAAAUUAAGGAAUACCAAAAGAUAAGUUUUAAAUUAAAUGUUUGAAGGUUAUAUGGUGUUUUUUGGUCUGCACCUAAUUCAAUAAAGGAAUAGAAAAAGUCACUAAAGUGGCUGCUAGUGUUCUCUAUGUAUGUAUCAGUUAUAAUUUUCAUCAAAUAGAUGAAUGCCAUCUUGCAUUUAAUUAAUCAAGUGAAGUUAAUGUAUUGAAUUAAUCAUCUUUUUUUACUUCAUUGUGUAAAGUAUUUAAAUUGAAACUGACUUAGCACCUUCCCAUUUUUAGGAUUUAGUAUAUAAUAGGAUAUAAUUACUACUACAAUAUUUAAUUAAUUAAAUAAUCUUUUUUAUAAUUUUUAUUUAAUAUAUAGGGGUAAAACGGUAAUUCAACUUUGAACAUAAAUUCUUUCCAUUUUUAAUAAUACUAGUUUUUGUGAACGUGUGUUGCACGUUUAAUUUGUCCCUUGUAAUUACUACAAGAUUUCUAUAUAAUUUUUUUAAAAAAUAAAUAAAUUUCAUAAUAGAAAAUAUGCAUGUAUUUCACGCUACUUAGUAUUAAUAUUUGUAAAUGAUUUAAAUACAAUUACAAUAUGUAUAAAUAGUUAUUCAUAAAAUUAAGUAAUCAAAAAGAGAAGGAGUCUAAACACCAAAUUAAAGCUUAACAUCAAAUGGACAAUCUGACAAUCAUAUCAAAUAGUUUUAAGAAAUUGUAUCAUUUUGAUACGUAAAUUUCACAUGAGUUAUUAGUUGUGAAGAUGUCAUAUAAUGUUUGAAGAUAAUAUAUAAAAAUUUAUCAAUAUCCAUUACAUUAUUAUAGCAUCACAAUAAAUUAUACAACUUCAGAUGUACAUUAUGUUCAUCCCACAAAUAUUCGAAAAUAAGAUGAAAUAGAGUAGACUAAAAACAAUGAAAUAGCUAAUGAAUUCUAAAACCUUCAAAUAACAAAAAUUAAAGAGAGAAACCGUUCCAGUUUAAAAGAAUGGAGGAACUUCCUCAAUAACUAACAAAAGCAUAAAUAGAUUUACCUCUUUUUUAUUGCAUAUGUGAUGAGCAAUAACAUCCAUCAACAAUUAUACAUUAGAAUAACUACGUGUGUGCAUUAACAUAAAGUGAUAGUGAUGAGCAAUAUAAUUACAUCCACCAAUAAUCAUCCAUCAACAAUUAUACAUCGGAAUAACAAAGUGUAUGCAUUAAUAUAAAGUGAUUUUGAAAACAAUUUUUUGGUACGUAUAAUUAUAAGUCAUGAAUUAUAAAAGUCAUUUAAAAAUUGAUGAUAUACAUAACAUCUAUGAGAAUUAGAUUGGUUAAAGUUGGGAUAUGUAAAGUUUCUAACUAAAAUUUAAUUAUGUGUGUCAUAUUAAGAUGUCUGGUAAUUCAAAGGACAUUUUGUUGUUUAAUGUUCAAGGAUAUUUCAGUUUUUAAAGGAUAUAAAUAUUUUUGACCAUUGCCUCAGUGAGGUCGAGGAAGCAUCUUCAGAUCAGGAUGAAAUCUUUAUAUUUGCAUUCAAACAUUGUAAAAGAAAUCUAGUAUAGGUAGGAAUUGAGAUAAUUUGCUCCAGAAAGAACUCUUCUUGCAUUUUGUUUCCUUUGUUGCUCUGCAUAUGACCUUCAAUUUCAGUCAUUGUUUCAAAUUUUGUUUGCUCUGGUUCGACUCUGUGUUUAGUGUUUCUGAGUUUUUCUUCUCUUUUUUUUUUCAUCAGACUCUACUCUAUUUGUCGGCAAUCUUCUUUCUUUGUUUACCUGCUUUUGUUCUUGGGUGGAUCGAAUAUAAACAUUUGUGUACAUCUUUGGCUCUUCUUUGUUUGAUUCACUUUCUUCAAUUAGAUCAGAAAAUAUUUCUCUGAAGGCAUGUUGAUUUUAUUAUUUUACACGAUUUCUGUUUGUGUUACUUUUUCGAUUUCUAAUUUGUUUUAUUCAUGUUUUUUACAGUUUAAUUUUUGAUGCUUCCGAGUUUCAGCAGUCCUGAUUCCUGAUGUUUUCUGGGUGAGCAUGGUUCUCUCCUUUUUCAAGUUAACAACUUAUUUUAUAUUACUUUUGCUGAGAUUGAUUGUGAGUUGCAAGUUUCGCAAUGCAAUUUUUGUAUUAUGAAUCCUUGAUGGACUAUGGUGAAAAUUUACUUUUCUUUGUAGAAAAAACAUCAAAGAAUUAUACUACUAUACAAAUCAGGUUUGUUAAUAUUGAUACUGCUGAUGUUAAUAAUCACUUGGCUAUUGUGAAAUAUGUUGAGGAUAUUUACAAAUUUUAUAAGCUCACAAAGGUCUGGUGAAUAUCAGAUGUCUCUGUUUCAAUGCUGGGGUGAUUUUACUGUUAUAGUGGAUACGGUGAGUUACUUUAAUGUGACAAACAAUAGUUUUGUGAUUUUAUUGUGUAGUGUAUAAAAUUCAUGUUAUUUUGAUAAUUUGGCUGAUUCAGGAUGAACGUUGAUUGUAUUAUUACAUGGAUUCACAACCACACAUCAACGCCAGGGUCAAAGCUAGCAAUUUUUCUGGAAGGUUGAACUACUUGAAAAACAUGAAAGCUACAUUACUUCACACAGUUGCGAGAUGAAGAGAAACUUUUUAGGAUCUAUUGUCAAUAUUUUUAGCAUUGUUAGUACUGUAACUCUCAACUAAAAGCUGGACAAAGUUACAAUUUUCAUCAAAAAUCGGUAAUGGCAGAGGGGCGUUUCUUUGGUUAUUGCUCAAAACUACAACUGCUAGUGAUUAUUUCUCAUGUAGUGAUUUUUUUAUGGAAUCAAUGUGUUAUCAAAACAUUUACGUUUAGUUAUGUUAUAACACAAACAGUUGAGGAUUGCACAACCUUACUACUAAAUGUUCAGAAAUAGACUUCUUUCUUGAAGGAGGAUUGCCAUUCAAUUGACGACUUGUGAUCAUCAAUUGCGAGAAGCUGGUGAGUGGCCGAAACGAUUGGCAUCUCAAAGAGUUUAUAUGUGAUCUAGCAGAACACAAUAGAUUGGGAGGGGGUGGAGACAGGUUUUUCUGAUUAAAUUUGGCACUAGUACUCGAUUUCUUGAGUUUUUGCUUCAGUAAAAGGGAAAAAAGGCUAUUUCUUAGUCUGUAUUUUGUAGUUUUAGCAAACAAGCAUAUUGCUAACUGGUGUCAAUAAACCAAGAGUGUAUUGUACCUUUUUCAGGACAAUUAUGUUAUAUUAUAUGUUGGAUGUUUAUUUGUUAUUUCAUUUCCAUAAAACGGUGGAUCGUUGAUUUCAGUUCAUUCAUUGGGACAGAGUUGUACAUGGACCUAAAUAGGGACCUUACCACUAUCUUGUAGGGUAGAGAGGUUGUUUCCGAUAGACCAUCGGCUCAAGUAAACAUAGAAAAAAUAAUACCUUAGAGAAAAGGAAAAUGGAACAGAAUCCAAUUCUAAAACGUAUUCAUGAUAUGUUAGACCCAAUUAAGCACUACAAUGAGCUGUUGAAAAAUGAACAGUGCAUAAAGCAAAAGUAGUGAAUAAACAUAAAGCAAAAGAUAUCUUCCUCCAUUAUUCAAUUAGUGGAGUCAUACUUUUUGAAAAGAGAAAAGAGGACAGUUUUGCUUCUUGUAGAUUAGCUGAAACAUAGUUGUACUAAUUUCAAGCAAUCACUGAUCAUUCUUGUUUGCAAAUUACUCUCAACAUUCAACAGGUAAAGAAGUUCUCUCUUAGUAGUUGAAGCUAGAUAGAAAAAUUUGUCUUCUCAUCAAAAUCAUUUUGUGUUUUUCAGAAAUGGAGAUUGGCUUAGCAGUUGGUAGUGCAUUUCUCUCUUCAGCUUUGAAUGCUCUCUUUGAUAGGCUUGCUCCUCACGGUGAUCUGCUCAACAUGUUUCAGAAGCAUAAGCAUCAUGUUCGGCUCUUAAAGAAGCUGAAAAUGACUUUGCGUGGUCUUCAGAUUGUGCUAAGUGAUGCAGAGAAUAAGCAAGCAUCAAAUCCAUCUGUGAGUGACUGGCUUAAUGAGCUUCGAGAUGCUGUCGACUCUGCUGAAAACUUAAUAGAAGAAGUCAAUUAUGAAGCUUUGAGACUUAAGGUGGAAGGUCAACAUCAGAAUUUUGCAGAAACAAGCAACCAGCAGGUAAGUGACCUCAAUCUGCGCUUGAGCGAUGAAUUUUUCCAUAACAUAAAGGACAAGUUGGAAGACACUAUUGAAACAUUAAAGGAUUUGCAAGAGCAAAUUGGUCUCCUUGGCUUAAAGGAGUAUUUUGGUUCCACGAAACAAGAAACUAGAAGACCUUCAACUUCUGUGGAUGAUGAAUCUGAUAUCUUUGGUAGGCAGAGCGAAAUAGAGGAUUUGAUUGACCGUUUAUUGUCUGAAGAUGCAAGUGGGAAAAAGCUGACAGUAAUUCCUAUUGUGGGAAUGGGUGGCCUGGGUAAGACAACACUUGCUAAAGCCGUUUACAAUGAUGAGAGGGUGAAGAACCACUUUGGUUUGAAAGCUUGGUAUUGUGUUUCUGAGGGAUAUGAUGCUUUGAGAAUAACGAAAGGGUUACUUCAAAAAAUUGGCAAAUUUGACUCAAAGGAUGUCCACAACAAUCUUAAUCAGCUUCAAGUCAAAUUGAAGGACAGCUUGAAGGGAAAGAAGUUCCUUACUGUUUUGGAUGAUGUGUGGAAUGACAACUACAACGAGUACAUCAGAAUUUUGCAGAAACAAGCAACAAGCAAGUGACCUCAACCUUUGCUUGACUGAUGAAUUUUUCCUUAACAUAAAGGACAAGUUGGAAGACACUAUUGAAACAUUAAAGGAUUUGCAAGAGCAAAUUGGUCUCCUUGGCUUAAAGGAGUAUUUUGGUUCCACGAAACAAGAAACUAGAAGACCUUCAACUUCUGUGGAUGAUGAAUCUGAUAUCUUUGGUAGGCAGAGCGAAAUAGAGGAUUUGAUUGACCGUUUAUUGUCUGAAGAUGCAAGUGGGAAAAAGCUGACAGUAAUUCCUAUUGUGGGAAUGGGUGGCCUGGGUAAGACAACACUUGCUAAAGCCGUUUACAAUGAUGAGAGGGUGAAGAACCACUUUGGUUUGAAAGCUUGGUAUUGUGUUUCUGAGGGAUAUGAUGCUUUGAGAAUAACGAAAGGGUUACUUCAAAAAAUUGGCAAAUUUGACUCAAAGGAUGUCCACAACAAUCUUAAUCAGCUUCAAGUCAAAUUGAAGGACAGCUUGAAGGGAAAGAAGUUCCUUACUGUUUUGGAUGAUGUGUGGAAUGACAACUACAACGAGUGGGAUGACUUGAGAAAUAUAUUUGUGUACAAGGAGAUAUAGGAAGUAAGAUCAAGAUCAUUGUGACGACACGCAAAGCGAGUGUUGCCUUGAUGAUGGGAAAUGAGCAAAUUAGCAUGGACAGUUUGUCUAAUGAAGCCUCUUGGUCUUUAUUUAAAAGACAUGCAUUUGAAAACAUGGAUCCUAUGGGACAUCUGGAACUUGAAGAGGUCGGAAAACAAAUUGCAGCUAAGUGCAAAGGACUGCCCUUAGCUCUGAAGACGCUCGCUGGCAUGUUACGCUCCAAAUCAGAGGUUGUAGAGUGGAAACGUAUUCUGAGAAGUGAAAUAUGGGAGCUGCGAGACAAGGACAUAUUACCAGCGUUGAUGUUGAGCUACAAUGAUCUUCCCGCACAUUUAAAGCGAUGUUUUUCCUAUUGUGCAAUAUUUCCUAAAGAUUAUUCAUUUAGGAAAGAGCAAGUUAUUCAUCUUUGGAUUGCCAAUGGUCUCGUACCAAAGGAAGAUGAAAUAAUUGAAGAUUCAGGCAACCAAUACUUUCUCGAAUUGAGGUCAAGAUCAUUAUUCGAAAGGGUCCCAAAUCCUUUUGAAGGGAACAUAGAGAAAUUCUUAAUGCAUGACCUUGUCAAUGACUUAGCCCAAAUUGCAUCUUCAAAACUUUGUAUCAGGUUGGAAGAGAGCCAAGGAUCUCAUAUGUUGGAAAAAAGUCGGCACUUAUCUUAUUCAAUGGGAAAAGGUGGUGAGUUUGAGAAAUUAACACCCCUCUACAAAUUGGAGCAGCUGAGGACAUUGCUUCCGAUAUUUUUUGAUGUCAAUCAUGACUCUCUAAGCAAGAGGGUGCAGCAUAACAUACUGCCAAGACUAAGAUCCUUAAGGGCAUUAUCAUUGUCUCAUUACAGGAUUAAGGAGUUGCCGGAUGACUUGUUUAUCAAAUUAAAGCUCCUGAGAUUUUUGGAUAUUUCUAAGACAGAGAUUAAUAAGUUGCCAGAUUCCAUUUGUGGAUUGUAUAAUUUAAAGACACUUCUCCUGUCAUCUUGUGAUUAUCUUGAGGAGCUACCACUGCAGAUGGAGAAGUUGAUCAACUUGAGUCAUCUUGACAUAAGCAACACUUCUCGCUUGAAGAUGACACUACAUCUGAGCAAGUUGAAAAGCCUCCAAGUGCUAGUGGGAGCCAAGUUUCUUCUAGAUGGUUGCUCACACCAUUACUAGAAUUUGACGAGGGAGAAUACUGGCCAAAUAUUGCUCAAAUUCCCACCAUUGUGAUUGAUCGGGAGUUCCUAUGAUGAUUAAAACAAAUGGCUCUCCAACUGAUGUAAGUUAUUCUUUUCCUUUUUUAAAAAUCUUGUUGAGCAGUCUAUUGCUCAAACCACGGCUACUGACCAAAAAUUGUUCAUAUUUUUUUUUUCUAUUUAGAAACGGGAGUUUGGAAGGAUUCACAAUGGCAAGCCUGAUUCCUGAAGUUUUCUAGGUGAGCAUGGUUGUCUCCUUUUCAAGUUAACAACUUAUUUAUAUUAAUUUUGCUGCUAUUGAUUGUCAGUUGCAAGUUUCGCAAUUCAAUUUAUGUGUUACUACAUCUGGGAACGUGCGUUGCACGUUUAUCCCAAAAUACUUUAUAUAAAUUUUGUAUUGCAAAUAACAUAUUCUAUCCCCUCUAAAUCUAUAGUAUUUACUAAAAAAAAAUUCAUCACAUAUAUCUUUAUAAAUAUAUAUAUAUAUAUAUGAUUAUUAAAUUGACUAAAAGUGUAUAGAGUAAAAAUAACUUCCAAGUAAUAGUCAUCAGUUAGAUGAGAUAAUAGAUGUAGAUAGAGAUAUAGAAAUAUUCAAGCAAAAUAAAUUAAAAUUAUUAAAUCCACAAGUUCUAUAUAAUACAGGACUAUUUUCGUCAAUAGCACACUUAUACAGACAUUAUAGAGAAGAACAAUUGAGUGUAUCAGAAAACGAUAGUGAAAGUAUAAAUUUAAUUAGUAAAUAAUCUAUGCAAGAAAUACAAAAAAGACGAAUGAAUCUCAUGCAUAUGAGAUUGGUAGUAAUCGGACUUAAAGGUUUAACUAGAAAAAAUUUAGGUACUAAAGUAUUAAUCACUUUAUAUGAUAGUAGAUGGUCAGAAUCUAAAAGAUCCAUAAUAGGUUUAACAGAAGUCGACAUGAGUAAUAAUGGAGGAAUUUUUUACUGUAGUCCAGAUUUCAUGAUAAAUUCAAAAGAAUUUGGAAAAUACAUAAAAAUAGGCAUACAAACCAAGGGUUACGAAGAAAUGAACUGUGGAAACAAUCUAUUAGUUUGUGUUGGCUUCAUAGGAAAAUUAGCAACCAACAGUAGUUCAAGGUUUAAAAUAAAAAUAGACAAUGCGGUAGGCAUAAUGGGAAAUAAAGGAAUAAAAUUAAUGAAACUUUUAAAAAUAAAUUCAGAAGAAUAUGCAGGUAGAGAAUGGAAUUUAGAAAAAUUCUAUAAAAAAGAAGUGUUAAGACCAAAUGACCACCUCACAUACACAAAUAAUAAAGGUGAGACAUCAAUCAGAUUCACUGAUUAUAAAUAUACAAAUCAAAAGAAAUAGAUGAAGAUUUAGAAGAUAAUGAAUCAACCAUAAAUAUGGAAGGAAUGAAUGUUCAGAUCAAUAAAGAAGAAGACUAUGAAGUAGAUAUAUCAAUAGCAAAAGCUAAAGAAAUACACAAGUCAAAUAAAGAAAAUUUAUUUAAAUGUAAAGGAUGUAAACUAGGAAAACUAAAAUUUUCUAUAGUAGAAAAACACUUCAAAGAGUGUAAUUUUAGAACAGACAAUUAUGGAUUUCGCCAGAAAGAAAAAACACAGGAAGAAAGUGAUGAUGAAACAACACGUAGUUUAAAAGAAUUAGAUGAAAGCGAUGAUGAAACAACACGCAGUUUAAAAGAAUUUAUGGAAACCGCUUCUUCAAGCUCAAGUCCCUUCCAAAAGACAACCCCAAUACCACCAAUAGAAUAUACUAUAGGUAAUUUACCACAACACCGUGUAUUUAGACAAGACCCGAUGACAGAACCAGAAAUGGUUAGACCUAUAGGAAUAAUAAUGCCAAUAGAAGCCCCCAUCAAACUCCAAGACAGGGGAGAUAGAUGAAAAAUACUAAAUAUAUCGGCUCAUGACCCUCAAUUAUGGAACUCAGUACUAGAUGUAUGGAAAGGAGUAGUAGUAGCAGACAACAUACACCAUUAUAGUGAAACAGAUGCAGAAACUAUGUAUAGAUACAUGGAAACCUUUCUAGGAGAAUCAAUCAAAGGAGUAUGGGAAGAAUAUAAGGUAGCUUACCCUCAAGAAUUCCAAGAACUAGUAAAUAUAGGACCAAACUCGUAUAAUUUUACUAAUAAAAUACACAGCCUGAUAACAGGAGAAGACCCAAAUAGCGGAUUAGUAGUGUUACAAAAGAAUGCACUAAUAAAAUUAGAACAACUUAGCAAAACAAAUUGGAGUCAUAUAAAGAAUUUUUUAAAAGACUAUUUUUACUAUUGCGCUAUAAGCGGUAAUGCGUUUGACCAAAGCUUGGGGAAAAAACUUUUUAACAAACUCCCUGGAGCCUUAGGAAGAGAAAUAGAGGAAAGAUGGAACAAAAGAGAGGGAGUAAUGACAAAACCCAAAUGCCAACUGGUCUAUAGGACAUAAAAUACAACAUGUCAUGGAAAUAUUACAAGAGAAAUGUACAAAUAUACAAAUACAAAAAUAAUUAAAACAAAAUGAGACUAGUUUUUGUAAGAAUAUAUAUACAACACAAAGCUAUGAUCAAAGUACACCAAAAAGAAAAUACAGAAAGACAUAUCAAAAUAACCAAGACUACAAACCUAGGAAAAGGUAUUAUCUAAGAAAAUCUACGGCAAAAAAACCUUACCUAAAUAAAGAUAGACAUGUAAGAAAACAAUAAUAAUAAUAAUAGAAUUUACAAAAAUAAGACUAUCUUGUUUUACUAUGUGGAAGUGAAGAACAUCUAGCUAAUACUUGUCCAGGUAGAAAUAAUAGUAGAACAAGAAAUGCCCAACUUAUAGAAGACUUCCAAGAAACCCUGAUAAAUGUAGAUGAAUACAAGUCAGAUAAUGAGAGCAUAUAUUUAGUAAUAAGCAUAGAUGCUAUAGAAGGAAGACAACAAGAUUCGUCUGAUUCAGAAGAAGAAACUUUAAUAAACGAGAUAGGAUUAGAAAAAUUAGACUUAAACAUGAAAGAUUUUACCUUUGUUAAUAUACAAUGCGAUCACCAAUUCUCCAAAGCAAAAGGGUUAGAUAGUCAAAAAUGCUUUAAUUGCACAUGAUACCCCAGUAAAGACAGAAGAGCUAAAUGUAUGAACUGCUAUGUAGAGGGAUGCCUUAUGUGCAUCGACAUGAUAUUUAACAUAAAAGUUAUAGACCAAACAAGAAGUACAAAAGAAAAAACAUUAAUAUCUUUAGAAAAAAGGAUUGAUAAUUUAGAGGACAGAAUAAGUAAAUUAGAAAAGGGAAAAGAAAAAUUAGAAGAGGGAACCAACCAAAACACAACGCCAAAAGAGGAAAUCGAGCUCUUAAAUGAAAAGGAGGACUAUAAAUCAUUUGAGGGAUUAAUUUGUAAUGAAGACAAGAAAAUUAAUACUAUCAAAAUAUUAACAAGAAUAAGAAUUCAAGACUACGAAAUAGAAACUUUAGCUCUAGUAGACUCUGGAUGUAAAAGUAUAAUAGAUAGAAGUAUCCUGCCUCUAGAUAUAAUAAAAUAAUUUCCAGAGCCACAAAGCGCCAUGCAAAUGGAUGGAUCUUCAAAUGUAUAUAAACAUUAUGUUAGUAAUGCUCAAAUAAGUUUUUUAAAUACAUGUGAAAACUUUUAUAAACACAUGUAUAGAUUAGAAAAAAUAUGGGUUAGAGACUUAAAUAUUAUAGUAGACUUUGUUUUAGGUUUAGACUUCUUAUUACAUAACAACGGAUGUUGUCGCCUUACUAGAGACGGAGUAAUAUUCUCUAAAAAUAUGACUCAUACCUCAAUAACAACAGAAUCGUUUCCAACGAAAUCUAGGUAUCUUAAAAAUACUGAUAAACUUAAUACAAACACUUCAAAAUGUAAUAAAGGAGAAGAAUGUAAUUAUACUAAGAUACAUGUUAUUGAAGAAGAAAUUGAAUUAUUAGAGCUAAGUUUAUCUGAUAUACAACUAGAGAAAAGUUAUAACUUAAUAGAAAUAAAUACAGAAUUUUAUAAUUUCAAAAAAGGAUUACAACAUAUAGGAGUCAUAAAAAAUCAAAAAGACCUAGAGGAGGUAAUUUCCAUCUUAGAUAAAUUAGAGAUAAUUGGAGAAAGACCUUUAAAGCACUGGGAAGCCAAUCAUAUAACUUGCAGACUGGAUAUCAUUAACCCAGAAUAUACUGUUAAAACUGAUUCAAUAGAAUCCACAAAUGAAGACCUAAAGGAAUUUGAAGAUCAGAUAAAAGAAUUACUAAAUUAGGGAGUGAUAAGAAGAUCAACUUCAAGACAUAGGUCAUCAACAUUUGUGGUAAGAAAUCAUAAUGAAAUAUUAAGAGGAAAAGCUAGAAUGGUAAUAAACUAUAAAAGACUUAAUGACAAUACCAAAAUGGAUGGAUAUAAGUUGCCAGAAAGAUCAAAAUUAAUAAAUCGAAUGCAAGGAAGAAUUUUUUUUAGUAAGUUUGAUUGUAAAUUCGAAUACUGGCAAGUCAAAAUGUAUGAAGACAGUAUAGAAUAGAAAACUUUCACUUGCCCAGAAGGACAUUUCGAAUGGUUGGUAAUGCCCUUCGAUUUAAAAACAGCUCCUCCGAUCUUUCAGAGAAAGAUGGACAAUAUAUUUAGAGAUUAUAAAAAUUUUAUUUUAGUAUAUGUAGACGAUAUCUUAGUAUUUAGUAAUAAUGCCAACAAACAUCUAAGACAUUUACAAACGGUGUUUAAAUUAUUUGUAGACAAUGGAAUUAUAAUUAGCAAAAAGAAAAUGGAAUUAUGUAAAAAACUAACAGUGGUUUCUCCUCCAACAGUCAAGUAACUAGCACUGGUUAUUCCAGCAAGAGCUCUUACUCUAACAGAACUAGUACCGUCAACUCCAAUUGUAGCAGCAGGAAUGUCUUCACCACCAGAUAAAUCUUAUAAAAUUCCUAGGGGUAGAAAUUGGAAAUGGAAAGAUAAAAUUACAACCCCAUAUAGCAAAAAAGGUUCUCGACAUGCUUGAUAAAUUAGAUAAUACUAAAGACUUACAAAAAUUUCUAGGAAUAUUAAAUUAUGCACGAAGUUUUAUAAAAGACCUAGGAAAAGUAACAGGACCCUUAUAUUCUAAAACAGGAAUUCAUAGGCAGAAGACAUUCAAUAUGGAAGACAUAAAAUUAGUACAAAAGCUUAAACAAAUGGUUAAAAAUAUACCAGAUCUAGCCCUCCCACUAAAAACUGACUGCCCAAUAGUGGAAACCGACAAAAGUCUAGAAGGAUGGGGAGCAGAAUUAAAAACAAAGAACAAUAAAUAUAUAGAAAAGAAAGACGAAAAAAUUUACGCCUAUCACAGUGAAAAAUACAAGGAAAAAGGAAACAUGAGUAGCAUAGAUGCAGAAAUUCUAGUAGUCAUAUAUGGACUAAAUAGCUUUAAAUUAUUUAUUAUUAAUAAAAAAGAAAUUUUAGUAAGAACUGACUGCAAAGCUUUUGUAAAAUUCCACCAGAAAAUAGAAGGAAAAAAUAGUAGUAAGAGAAGAUGGCUAAAUUUUUUAGACGCUACAUCAAUAUACAAUAUAUUUUUAGAAUAUAUAAACGGAAAAGAUAAUUCCUUAGCAGAUCAACUAAGCAGACUCAUGAAAACUAAUUAUUUAUUUUCAGAAUGAGUACAUGUAAGAACAAAGACAAGGCAUCCAGUUCAAGUUCAAGUAAUAGUGGGCAAAAAGACAAAGAUAUAUACUUAUAGACAUUAUUGGGAAACACUUCGUUUAGACCACAUACAAGAGAAGAAGAUGCAAGGAUAAAUACUCCUAUAGAAAGACUAUACUUUGGAAGACAAAAUUUAAUAUUUUAUCCUCCAUCUAAUUUAAGUUUCAGAGUAAAGCCAGAAACAAAAAUAGAUAAACAUCAAAGAUGUUUGAUAGACAAUCUAUGGAUAGCAUAUAACAAAAUUUUGAAAGACAAUAGCUAUUUUAUUUCAGUAUUAAACUCAGUAAGUUAUUAUUUUACGGAGAAAAAUGAAGACAAAAAGUUUAAAUUCUACGUAGUAGUUCGAGGAAAGCUAGCAGGCAUCUUCCAGACUUGGAUCGAGGUGAUAGACUCAAUUAAAGACUUUCCUACCCCAUUUUUCAAAGGAUUCAACGAUUUAAAUAAAGCACUAGACUAUGCUAGAGGAACUCUUGGGCCAAAUUAUUUCAUAAGCCCAGCUUUAAGACAAACUUCAAGACCUUUCCUGCAAUACAAUAUUCGAAAGGAUACUGACAAGAUAAUCUUCUGCGAUCAUUGUUCUUCAAUGACUGAAGGAUUCAAAAUACUAAACCAGACAAUUGAGAAACUAGAGACUGAGAAAGGGGAACUGACACAACAUAUCCACUCAUUACAAGAAAAAAUAAGGUUCUUCCUUGGAAAUACUAAUCAAACCAUACCAUUACAAAUACAAGACUACUCAAAAGGACCAAAGAGUUCUCCAUCUCAUCUUAAAAUGGAUAAGACGGGUGUUCAUCCUCCAACGAAUGUAGAAAGAGCUAUUGUAUCAGCUAAAUGUACAACUAGUCCCGUUCAAAUGGUAGCGGGUAAAGAUUCAUCAAAUCCGUUGAUGGCUGACACUUUGCCAAAAAGUGUUAAAAACAAAUUUGAAAAUAUUUGUUAAAAACAAACUUAAUUUUUUUGAAAUUGGGGGGUGGGGGGUCGCGGGUAGGGAGUGGNNNNNNNNNNNNNNNNNNNNNNNNNNNNNNNNNNNNNNNNNNNNNNNNNNNNNNNNNNNNNNNNGGGGAGGGGGUCGAGGGUAGGGGUGGGGUGGGAUGAAAAAUAAAAAAUUUAAAUUGGAAAUAUUUUUUUAAAAAAAAUUAUUUUUUUUGUGGGGGGGAGGGGUAGGGGGUGAGGUAAAAAAAUUUAAAAUUGAAGGCUUUAAAUUUAUUUUUUUCAACAAAAAAAUAAUAAUUGUAAUUUGAAGUUGGAGAGAGUUUUGGAAAACGUUUUUCUUAAUUUUUUGAAAGUAAGUCAUUUUCCUUAAAUUUGAGAAAAAUGAGUUAAUUUGAAAAUCAUUCUCCAAAACGUUUUACCCAACCAAAUAUGAUAAAAUUGAAAUACAUUUUCCGAAAAUGUUUUCCUUCAUACCAAACACACCCAAUAUGAUGAAUCAAUGAUGGAUUAUGGUGAAAUUUACUUUUUUCAUAGAAAAAUAUCAAAGAAUUAUACUAUUCAUGUUUGAUAAAAUAUCCUUCAAUAAGACCUGGUGAAUAUCAUAUGUCUCUGUUUCGAUGCAUCUUAUAAAUCCUAUUGAAAUUCUGUGAGGUUGCUCGUGUCCUUUGGUUGGUGGGCUUAAUUUUUUGAACUGUGAAUGCAUCUUAACAUAAUUUUGAUUUUUGAUGGGUUCUCCAAAUCUAACAAUUUUAUUUGGGAUCCCUUUUUUUAGGGGGAAAGUCUCAAAUGGGAAAUAAAGUUGGCACUUUGAAGAUUUUGAAGCUAGAAUUUGUGAGCUCUCUCUUUGUCUACACAAAUUUCAAACGGCCUGUUAUAGCUUCAAGGUAAUCGUCUUCGGAAAUUUGAAUUCUUUUGGUUCUUAUUUUAAUCUUGCACAAAAGUGUAACAUUUACCCUUUGUUUGGAUCAUUGUUACCCAUUAUAUUGUAUCGUUACUAUACCUACAAUGUUUGUUUUGAUUAUUACUUAAAAUAUAUUGUAUUGUAUUGUUAAAUUUCGUUGUUACGUAACAAUGAAAACCUCUAUUUUAUGGAACAACCAAUUUGGUGUGUUCCCAAUUGUUACUUAAUUUCUUUUUCCAAUUAUAUCUUUUACAUAAUAUUUCAAAAUACUAUUUUAUCCUUUACCUUAUAUUAUUUAAUUCUAAUCAAACCUCCUACUCUACAUAUAUACAAAUGGCUUACAUAUACCAUUUUCCUCUAACAGAGAUGAAAAAAAUUAAUUUUAGUUUAAUUUUUUUUAAAAAAAAAAAAACUAUAAUCCCAUAUGAGUAUAUUUAAUCCUCCUCAAACAUAUAUUUUUUUUGUUUCAAUGACUAAUUUAAAUUUAUUAUUUUAAUGGUCAAAUUUAUUUAUGUUUCACUAAUAUUCUUGUAAAACUUAUUAUUGUUUACAUCUCCGCUUUAUUCAAAUAGGGCGAAACGUCCUGAUGACUCAAAAAAUAAACAAUUGAUUCAAUUUUAAAUUUUUUUUAAGAAAAUAAGAAUUUUAAAGGAGUCACCACCUAAUUUUAGGAAACCAAUUAAAUGAUCUACGAAACCAAGAAAUUUUAGGUAAGGGGUUCAAGUUAAUUCGAAGGAAAAGUGUUAGGCAUCAUUCGAAAUUCACAAUUGUGAGUUCCGACCGAAUUCAUUUUUUCAAAUUGAGGAGGAAGUAAAAAUAGUAUACAAAUAUAACAAACAUACAAUAUACACAAGUAAUAUGAGAAACGACCUAAUAUUUGCCUAUCAUCAAUAAUAUACAUAAUAAUGAUUAUAAUAUUCGAACUUUAUUCGAAUGGCUUCGAUGAGAAACGACUUCGGGGUACCUAUAAAGACACUUAAUAAAAGUGUUAAUACUAAAUAUAUAUGAAUAAAAAUAAAUAAAGCAAAUAAUAACUUAAAAAUAAAAACUCAUCUUAUUAACAUAGGAGGCCUUAGAAAUAGACUGUAAUUUCUUCAUCGGCCAAUUUUAACAAAUAAAAUAUACAAACUUAAAUUAAAUUUUCGUCUUUUGCAAUGUAGAGGCCUCCAAAACCGACGGAAAUUUUUUUUCAUUAGGCAAAUUAUAGCAUUUACUUAACAUGAAUUAAGGAAAUAAUCCUAUAGUAAAAUUGACAAAACCCUUCGGGGUGGCCCAGUGGUUUGGGCUUGGGACUUCCAUGUUGGAGGUCUCAAGUUCGAAACCCCUUGCCAGCGAAAGCAAGGGUUUGCCCUCUGGGUCGAGCUCAUCGCACCGGGCUUGCCUAGUGCGGGUUACCUCUCCUAUGUGGUUUGCGAGCUAUUGCAUAAGAGCGGGGGUUUUACCCUGUGCGCAUCCAAAGGGUAGCAGCUGCGGGUUUCCCUUGUCAUCAAAAAAAAUAAAAUUGACAAACAUUAUAUUUAAACUAGCUCAAAAAGAAUAACAAAUUAAUAACGGACAAUGCACAGAUAAUGAUAAAAUAAUUUCGACACUUUUCUAAAAAAAACAACUACUAGUGCUAACAACAUCAAAGAAAUAAAUAAAUUAAGAAGAAUAAUGGAAGUAAAAUCUGUAAUCUAAACAAAAAUAAAAAUAAAAAAUGAAACCGAACACCACAAUCACAAUAGUAUCUAAAUGAAGUAUAAUCUGUAACCGAUUAAAAUAAUAAUAACAAUAAUAAACAAAAGAGGAAACAAAGGCAUAAUAAUAACAAUAAAAUAAAUCCACAACUUAGAGAAAAUUACAAUACUCAACCUUCUUUAAUUAAUAAUUAGAAAUUACCAUUAUGUGCCACUUUAUACGAAUUGAGAGAAUUAACCACAAAUAAAUAGACUAAUCAAGAAUAGCUAACUAUAGUAUCCAAAAUAAACUAAACAAAAAUAAUGGAUUCGAAAGCACAUUCAUAAACUGUAAACGUAAACAAUAAUAAAAAGAAAUCAAGGAAUAACAGAUACAAAAAUUACCGAUCCCGGUCUGGUUCCUGGCGACUUCGUUGUUUUGAGCUACUAUUCGCCGGAGUUGUUUUGCCAGAGUUCGGAAUGUUGGUUGUUGUUAUUGUUACCUCCUGGAGGAGCUCGUGGGUGGAGCUGGUGUGGUCAGCCUCUGGUUUCGAUGAGUUGGAGCUUGGAGCUCACUGGCUGUUGUUCGCCUGGGCUUCGUGGGUUUUGAGCUACUUCUUGCUGGGGUUGCUGGUUCAACGAGCAAAGGGGAGAACGAGGAUGGGGUUUUGGGUUGGUUUCGCCGGAAAAAGGGUGAAGAGAGUUGGGGUCUUAGUGGUGGUUUUGGUGGUGAUUUUGGCUGAAGGGUGGUGGCGUUUGGGUGGGUUGGAGAGCUGCUGGUUGCAGCAGAGAAAACAGGAGGGGUUUUGGGUCUGUUUGGUUGGCUGAUUUUGUGGAUUUGGGGUCUAUUUGGAUCGUGGUUUUGCCGGAAAAAGAGGUGAACGGAGAUGGUUUGUUGGGUUGGAGUUUCUCGGAGGUUGUUUGGUUGUUGUUAAUGGUUGUUUUCGGUGGCUUUUGGUCUUUGGUGGUGGCUGGAUUGUUGCUGGAAACGAAAAGGGGGGUGAGCACUGGCUCGCCGGAAAUGGAGUUUGAGUGGUGAUGAGGAAGGAGGGUGGCGGCAGCUUUGACAAGAUGAUAGAAAAAUCGUUUUUGGUUUCAGUCAUUUUGAAAUUUUUCACCACUUGGACUAAAAAUAUUGUUCAUCCUCUUCACUUAAUGAAUAAGCUAUUGUUUAUAUAGAAAAUUGAAAAUUAUCUAUAGUAUAAUACGAUUAUCUUAAAAUCAUGGGCUGAAACCAUUAGUUAAAUAAAAUAUUUGUAUAUAAAUCUUAUUUAUAUUUGAAUCAAUUUUUAGACAGUGCAAAAUAUCAAAAUUAAUAUUAGCAAAUGUAACAAAUAAAAAUGAAUAUUAUUAAAAAAAAGGAAAGUAAUGAACGUAACAAAUGACAUGUAUAAAGUGCAAUUUAAUAGAAAUAACUAUUUAAUCAAGAUGAACAAAUAUUUGAACGUAUUUAACCAGCUAUGACAAAAAAUAAUGAAAUUAAAAUUAACUGAUAAAAAAUCCUAAAUUUUGACAAAUAAAAAUAAUUAUCGAUAAACUUAUUUAAAAUUAUAAAAAAUGUAUUUUGAACAAUUAAAUAAAUAAAACUUAAAAGUUACGAAUUUUGAAAAUGUUAGGUCAAAAUUGGGUGUCAACAAUUAUAGAUGACCUUUUUUUUUUCUUCAAAUACAAAAAUUAAAUUACAAUAUAGACAAAAAAAAAAUUGUUUUAAAUUAUAAUAUAGCUGCAAAAAAAUAGUUUUAAUUUUUUUUUCUUUACACCAAGGAAUGAAAGAAAAAAUAAAAUAAGAAUAAGAAACUAAAAUAAUGAAAAUCAAAGAAGUCAAAAAAUAAUUUAUGUAUGAAAAAAAUUGAAAUAUACCUUGAACUUUGCAGAAGAAUCUUAUAUAUCCCUAAAUGAUUUUUAAAACAAUUAAAAGUCAAAAAUAUAAAUUUAAAAUUAAUUUUUUCACUUCCGUUAAAUGAAGAUAUAUGUGAGCUCAUUUUGUAACGAUAGGGUAUAUGUGAGCCGUUUAUAUAACAACAAAGGUAUAUAUGAGUCACUUUCAUAACGAGGACAUAUCAACUCUAAAUAAAAAAAUUGACAGGUAUAUCAGACCCUUUUCCCUAGAAAAAAUAAUACCUUAGAGAAAAGGAAAAUGGAACAGAAUCCAAUUCUUCACAAUUCUAAAACGUAUUCAUGAUAUGCUAGGCCAAACUAAGCACUACAAUGAGCUGUUGAAAAAUGGACAAGUGCACAAAGCAAAAAGUAACGAAUAGACAUAAAGCAAAAGAUACCUUCCUCAAUUAUUCAAUUAGUGGAGUCAUACUUUUUGAAAAGAGAAACGAGGACAGUUUUGCUUCUUGUAGAUUAGCUGAAACAUAGUUGUACUAAUUUCAAGCAAUCACUGAUCAUUCUUGUUUGCAAAUUACUCUCAACAUUCAACAGGUAAAGUAAGUUCUAUCUUAGUAGUUGAAGAUAGAAAAAUUUAUCUUCUCAUCAAAAUCAUUUUGUGUUUCCUUGUUUUGAUUUGCAGAUUUCAGAAAUGGAGGUUGGCUUAGCAGUUGGUGGUGCAUUUCUUCUCUUCAGCUUUGAAUGUUCUCUUUGAUAGGCUUGCUCCUCAGGGUGAUCUUCUCAACAUGUUUCACAAGCAUAAGCAUCAUGUUCGGCUCUUCAAGAAGCUGAAAAUGACUUUACUUGGUCUUCAAGCUGUUCUAAGUGAUGCAGAGAAUAAGCAGGCAUCAAAUCAAUUUGUGAGCCAGUGGCUUGAUGAGCUUCGAGAUGCUGUGGACAUUGCUGAAAACUUAAUUGAACAAGUCAAUUAUGAAGUUUUGAGGCUUAAGGUUGAAGGUCAGCAUCAGAAUCUUGCAGAAGCAAGCAAUCAGCAAGUAAGUGACCUUGACCUGUGCUUAAGUGAUGAUUUUUUUCUUAACAUAAAGGAGAAGUUGGAAGACACCAUGGAAACAUUGGAGGAUUUGGAAAAGCAAAUUGGCCGCCUUGGCUUAAACGAGCAUUUUGGUUCGACUAAACAAGAAACUAGAACACCUUCAACUUCUUUGGUUAAUGAAUCUGAUAUCUUUGGUAGGCAGAGCGAAACAGAGGAUUUGAUUGACCGUUUAUUGUCUGAAGAUGCAAGUGGAAAAAAUCUGACUGUAGUUUCUAUUGUUGGAAUGGGUGGCGUGGGUAAGACAACACUUGCUAAAGCGGUUUACAAUGAUGAGAGGGUGAAGAACCAUUUUUGUUUGAAAGCUUGGUAUUGUGUUUCUGAGGCAUAUGAUGCUUUCAGAAUAACAAAAGGGUUACUUCAAGAAAUUGGCUCAUUUGACUUAAAGGAUGACAACAAUCUUAAUCAGCUACAAGUCAAAUUGAAGGAAAGCUUAAAGGGAAAGAAGUUUCUUAUUGUAUUGGAUGAUGUGUGGAAUGAAAACUACAAUGAGUGGGAUGACUUGAGAAAUAUUUUUGUACACGGAGAUAUAGGAAGUAUGAUAAUUGUAACGACACGUAAAGAGCGUGUUGCCUUGAUGAUGGGUAGUGGGGCAAUCAACGUGGGGACUCUGUCUGAUGAAGUCUCUUGGGAACUAUUCAAACGACAUUCACUAGAAAACAGGGAUCCUGAGGAACAUCCAGAACUUGUAGAGGUUGGAAAACAAAUUGCACACAAGUGCAAAGGAUUGCCUUUAGCUCUAAAGGUACUUGCUGGUAUUUUACGCUGCAAAUCAGAGGUGGAUGAGUGGAGAGACAUUUUUGAGAAGUGAAAUAUGGGAGCUUCCAAGUUGUUCGAAUGGUAUAUUACCAGCGCUAAUGUUGAGCUACAAUGAUCUUCCUGCACAUUUGAAGCAAUGUUUUGCUUAUUGUGCAAUAUAUCCUAAAGAUUAUGAAUUUUGCAAAGACCAAGUUAUUCACUUGUGGAUUGCUAAUGGUCUUGUACAUCAGUUGCAUUAUGGUAACCAAUACUUUCUCGAGUUGAGAUCAAGAUCACUGUUCGAAAGGGUCCCAAAGUCUGCAUGGAAACUGGAAGUAUUCUUAAUGCAUGACCUUGUCAAUGAUUUGGCCCAAAUUGCAUCUUCAAAUCUUUGUAUAAGGUUGGAAGAGAACAAAGGAUCGCAUAUGUUGGAACAAUGUCGGCACAUGUCCUAUUCAAUAGGAGAAGGUGGUGAGUUUGAGAAAUUGAAAUCACUCUUUAAAUCAGAGCAGCUGAGGACAUUACUUCCAAUCAAUAUGCCUUUCUAUUGCCAAAAUAAGCUAAGCAAGAGGGUGCUGCAUAACAUUUUGCCAAGACUAACAUCCUUAAGGGCAUUAUCGUUGUUACGCUAUGAAAUUGUUGAGUUGCCAAAUGACUUAUUUAUCGAAUUAAAGCUCCUGAGAUUUUUGGAUAUUUCUCGGACAAAGAUUAAAAGGUUGCCAGAUUCCAUUUGUGUGUUGUAUAACUUAGAGACACUUCUCCUUUCAUCUUGUGAUUAUCUUGAGGAGCUACCGCUGCAGAUGGAGAAGUUGAUCACCUUGCGUCAUCUUGACAUAAGCAACACUCGUGCCUUGAAGAUGCCACUAUAUCUGAGCAAGUUGAAAAGCCUCCAAGUGUUAGUGGGAGCCAAGUUUCUCUAGGUGGUUCGAGAAUGGAAGAUUUGGGUGAAGUACAUAACUUGUACGGAUCUCUAUCAGUUGUAGAGUUGCAAAAUGUGGUUGAUAGUAGGGAAGCUGUGAAGGCAAAAAUGAGAGAGAAGAAUCAUGUUGAGCAGUUAUCUUUGGAGUGGAGUGGAAGUAGUAGUGCCGACAAUUCACAAACAGAAAGAGACAUACUUGAUGAGCUACGCCCACAUAAAAACAUAAAAGAAGUCGAGAUCACCGGAUAUAGAGGGACAACAUUUCCAAAUUGGCUAGCUGAUCCUUUGUUUCUUAAUCUAGUAGAGUUGUCUAUUGAUAACUGCAAGAACUGUUAUUCCUUGCCAGCACUAGGACAACUCCCUUGUUUGAAAUUCCUUUGGAUUAGAGGGAUGCAUGGAAUAACAGAGGUGACGGAAGAAUUCUAUGGCAAUUUGUCCUCCAAAAAGCCUUUUAGCUCUCUUCAGGAGCUUGGAUUUGUUGAUAUGCCGGAGUGGAAGCAAUGGAACAUACUAGGAAUUGGAGAGUUCCCUAUACUUGAGAACCUUUCAAUUAUAAAUUGCCCUGAAGUCUGUUUGGAGAGACCCAUCCAACUUUCAUGUUUAAAAAGGUUUGCAGUUUGUGGUUGUCCUAAGGUUGGAGAAGCUCAAAUGUUUAGAUCCCAACUUGAGGGAAUGAAGGAGAUUGAGAAUUUAGAAAUUAGUGAUUGUAACUCUGUUACCUCCUUUCCUUUUAGCAUACUGCCCACUACCUUGAAGAGAAUAACCAUAUAUCGUUGCGAGAAAUUGAAAUUGGAGGUGCCAGUUGAUGAGAUGAGUAUGUUUCUGGAGGAAUUGACACUGUAUAAAUGUGAUUGUAUAGAUGAUAUAUCACCUGAGUUUUUCCCAACAGCACGCCAUUUGAAUGUAGAGGAUUGCCACAACCUUACUAGGGUUUUGAUUCCUACUGCCACUGAAAGACUCACUAUUUUGAAUUGUGAGAAUCUUAAAAUACUUUCGGUUGCAUGUGGGGGAACCCAGAUGACAAUUUUGUAUAUUGAGGGCUGUUGGAAGCUGAAGUGGCUGCCAGAACGUAUGCAGCAACUCCUUCCAUCUCUUAAGGAACUGUAUCUCUAUAAUUGUCCAGAAAUAGAGUCCUUUCCUGAAGGAGGAUUGCCCUUCAAUUUACAAGCCCUUUGGAUCAGAAAUUGCAAGAAACUGGUGAAUGGCCGAAAGGAGUGGAGUUUACAGAGACUCUCCUGUCUCAGAGAGUUAUCCAUCGUACAUGAUGGCAAUGACGAAGAGAUUGUUGGUGGUGAGAAUUGGGAGUUACCUUCCUCUAUUCAAAGACUUACCAUAGAGAAUCUGAAAACAUUAAGCAGCCAACAUCUCAAAAGCCUCACCUCUCUUCAAUAUCUAUGUAUUCGUAAUUUACCUCAAAUUCAGUCACUGCUGGAACAAGGGUGGCUUCCCUCGCCUCUUUCUGAGCUACGUUUAUAUCACCAUCAUGAGCUCCAUUCACUAGGUCUUUGGCACCUCACUUCGCUUCAAAUUCUACACAUCAUUAAUUGCCCUAAUCUCCAAUCACUUUCCGAAUCAGCACUGCCCUCUUCCCUCUCUAAACUACAUAUUCGCGACUGCGCAUUGCUCACACCACUACUAGAAUUUGACAAGGGGGAAUACUGGCCAGAAAUUUCUCAUAUCUCCACCAUACAGAUCAAUGAGGAAUACCUUUAAUGAUUAAAACAACUGUAAGUUUUUCUUUUUCCUCAUAAGCCUUUUAUUAUUUUUUCAACUUCUCUUUGCUUUUAUGUUAAUGCUUUUUCUUUAUUACAUUCUUGUUUCGCAGUAUGGAGUGUCUAUUGCCACUAUGAAGCUGAUGAUUUUAAUUUUAGAACUCAAUAGCAAUUAAUGUUACAUAUCUUACUCGAAGAUUUUUAUCGCUUGAACUUUCAUCUCAAUAGCAAGUCAUGUAUACUUGUUCUUUCCCUUUUCAGUGAGUUUAGAGUGAUGCACAUGUCCACUAUCAAAUUCAAAACUCUUAAUAGAAUUCAAAGGUGUACCAUACACAAGAUGUGUUUCAGUGAGUUUAGAGUGAUGCACAUGUCCACUAUUCAGGUUUUUAUUAAUGAUUCAGCCCCAUCGUAGAGAUCGAUUGGGAAUACCUGUGAUGAUUAAAACAAAUGGCUCUCCAACUGAUGUAAGUUAUUCUUUUCCAUCAGAAGCUUUUUAUUUUUGUUUUCAUUUUGCUUUUUUGUUGAUUCUUUUCCUUUAUAAAACCUUGUUGAGCAGUGUAGAAUGCCUAUUGCUCAAAUCAUAAAUCUUGAUUAGGAGAACCCUGUAAUGAUUAAAACGAGUUCUGCUCCGAUAGAUGUAAGUUAUUCUAUUUCCUUAAAUGUAACUAAUAUUCACUGGAUAUUCUAUUUCCUUAGUAUAUUUUGAUUGAGAUAAUUUGCUCAAGAAAGUUGAUUGCUUAAUAUAUGUUAUCACCUUUGGAGAUAUAGGGUCCAAGAAAUGCAACCUCACUUUCUCAAUCAGGUAGCCAACACAUUGAUAAAAGUUAUAUCAAGCUUCAAAUUUAAAGAAAUUGAAAACGACUUUGAAUAUCUGCUUCCAUUAUUUUACGCCAUGUUGUACCACAUUGAUUUCAAGUUUGAUUCCACUGCAUAAUUACAUCAGUUUUUUUUUUGUUUUGAUAUUCAAUUAUCUAGAAUAUUACAUCACUUUUUGGUUUUGAUAGUCAGAGAACUUUGAAGAUUAUGAAGUUUCCUUCAAAUUAAGCCCAUUACUCAACCUCGAGUGACACCUCAGAGCUAGCGGAAAGUCAAGAAAGUUUAUCCUGCUCGGGAUGAAGUUAAUGUUAGAUAACAAAAUAAUGAUUUACUCGUGUUUCAGUUACUAAGAUUCUUAUUUUGUAGUAAUAUUUUGGACUCUCAUAACUCAGUGACAUGGAUUUCCUUCAUUGGCACCCUCAUCAGUCAUCAAUCAGUGAAACAGAGAAAUCGACUGUUUCAAAACUCUCUGAAACCCAUUUUGAGCUUCAUGCCUUCAAUUCCGAUGAAACCCAAAAGGCAUCAACAGAGUAGAAGAAUUCAACCCAAAACCCAUUUCAACCCAAGUUUUCUAUUCCUGCUUCACCUGAUAGGAAGAAGUUUACGUAUGAGAAAGGUCUAAAGGUACAAAUAUUUUUUCUUCUCCUUUUCUUACUGUGGUGCUUAAAUUGGUUUUGUCCCACUUUGCAUCACAAUGAUGUUGGAGUAUAUCGGUUUUCUACUGGUAUUCAGAUACUUAAAAUGGAAAAUUGCUUUGGAAAAUAUCGUUUCAUUGUUCGAAAGUUGUUUAACAUACAAUUGGCAUCUGUUGAUCCAAUUUUUUCAUUUUUCUGUUAAUCUUCUUCUAUCCUUAGUUUACAUGUCUUCUGAUUGAGUUAUAAUACAUGCCUUGAUUCUAUUGAAGAUGAGAAAUCGUCAAAUGCCUUUAUGAAGUGUUUGCUAAGUUGAUGUCGCCUAAUUCACAUUUCACUGAAUUAAUUUCUGACCCAAGUUUAUGCAUAUGUUUGGUCUAACAUUGAAAAGGAAAAAUGUCGAAUGAUAUGGAUAUUUUUGUUUUUAAGAAUACAAAGUCACUAUAAAGGUAGAAAAUUUCGAUGGUAUUAAUUUUGAUAUGCAUCACCAUUGAGAACUUUGCCUGAGGUAUUAAUUUCUAUUUUCGCUGUUUAGAAAUGUUUAAUGUAACUCCUAAUUGUGAUGCUUCAUUCACACAUUUUUGAAAUAUAUUACAUAGAAAAUAUGCUUCUAUCCAAGGAAAAUUAUAUCUGCCUAGCUCUAACCUCCAGUACGUGUAUUCAUGAAUAAAAUGAUAGAAAAUGGAAACAAGGAAGGAAAACAUGUGCUGUUUGUUCUCGAUUUUUAAAUAUUGUAUCCUCUUUCGCUUCUGUUUUUCAUUUGCUCUCCUAGCUAAUAGUCUUUUAUUUACUGAAUAAUCAUAUGUUAUAUGUCUCCUUAAGUUCCUGUAUUUUUUAUUUCACAAACUUCACAUAAGCAUACAAGUAAUUGCAAUAGUUUAUUUGUGCUUCCAGAUUCGUUUAGUGUGAGGUCUGAUUUUUCUUUUUCCUUUUACAGCUAUUAGGAAAAGCUUGCCUAUGUGGCUCUUGACUAUGAGCAGGAGAUUGAAACUGCCAGGAGCAGCUCCUCCACUGAAAAGAACUAUGAAUUGCCUGAUGGACAAGUUAUUGCCUUUGGUGCUGAGAGGUUCCAUUGCCCAGAGGUCCUCUUCCAGCCAACGAUCCUUCCCGUGCGUUGAUCGUGGAUAAGACACUCAGAAGAAGAAAAGAUGACACGAAGAUGGUUAGCUGCAACAUGACUGACAGAAAUUUCUUUAUAGGAGGAAAAUGGAAUCUAUCAUGAAGAAUCCGGGAUGAAGACAUAGACCCACAGUGUGAAAGAGGUAAGAGAGUUUCAUCUACAAUGUUAACAGAAACUUUAAUAGGUAAAGGAGGCAGACAAUAGCAAUUGAUUAUCGUUUAGUGAUUAUCUUGCUUGUUAUAAACAUCAGGAGCAUUUGAUGGUAAGAUGUCAUAUAUCUUGGUAUCUAACAGGUACCCUGGGGUAUUAAUGAGUGAGGUUGAGGAUGGAAAGCCAUUCAGCCAAGUUGUUAAUGCUGCUAAAAGCCUUGGCUACACUAUUAAUGUUUGUAAAAUCACCAUAUAUAUGAGAAUUGAAGAUAUGACUUACAAAAACAGAAAGUUGUCGAUUGAAUAUAUGAUAUUGUCUAUUCAUAAUUAUGUGUAGUCUUACAUUUUUGUUUAUAUGUUGCUCUUUCUAUGAGUAAUUUCCACUCGUUUUCCUGUCAGGCAAGUGUUCCUCUGGUACAAUAAUAUUUUCUGGCCUUCUGCUUAGGAAGUUUGUCUAGGACUAAUUUGAAUGUGAGAGAAGUCAGAGAAACACGAGAAGCGAUUAAGAGAAUGUGUAAUACAAAUGUCUUACACAUGAAUUCUUCUUUUAUAUGCUCACUUUACGGUGCAUCUUCAUACAUUUGUCCAAUGUGGUGAACAUGCACAUACAACUCUAUAUUACAAUUAUCUCUUGUUAUUUACAUUUAGCUAUCUGAUUCUCCCCUCUAGCUGGUGCGUACAUGUAACCUGUAUAGGAUUUGAUGAAUAUGUCUAUAAGUUGAUCGGUCGACUUUCCAAACUUUAUAAGAGUGUCGUGAAAGCAUUUUUUGGGGAAGGGACAGUCGGUUUCUAUAUGCUUGGUCCUCUUGUCAGAUUCUGCAUACAAUGGAUACAAGUACAACUUGAUUAAUUAUCACACUCAAGUUUUGUUAUGAUCAAAUUUCAAUUGUUAGAGAAAAAUGUAUCUCAGGUUUAACUCUGCCCAAAAGUUACCUCAUGACAUGCGGAUUGCCAAAGAUCACAUAAAGAGAUUACAACAAAACAUCCUCAACUGAAGUGAGACUAACAUCUUAAUUCUUAUCGCUUGCACAGGGCGGAACAUAUGAAGUAUGUAUAACAUAACACAGGGGGGCUUAACAUUGGGUAAUAACUAAACACUAGGGAUGAGCUUGAGUGAGAUAUCAUUAAGAAAAUGGACUUUGUGCCUAACCCAGUCCAGAAAGCUAGUCCAAGAUCAUAUAAGGGUACCUUUAACCAAUGUGGUAAACUAACAGCAACCAUUUUCGAUCCUUUUGGUGGUUGUUAAUCUAUGUGCUCAUCGUUACCAUAGUCAUGACCCAAUAUUCUCUUUCUUCUAUAUUGCCCAAUUGCCUGAAAGUAUUAUAGUAUUUAGAAGUAAAACGUAUAUAAAGAAGGUAUCACUGUCCAUUUUGCAUCGUAAUUGUCUUUGAUUUUUGUUGAUAAUCCUUUCCAAGAGCAGGCUUCCUACCCCAAAAUUCUGUUUCCAGCUGGAUUAUAUAAGAAAUUUGGAGCCAUUCAAAACUUCUAAGGAGAUUCUAGUUCCUGUUCUAAUAAAGAAAUAAUGUCUUCAAUGCAUUGUCAAGAUGCAGUCAAUUUUCUAGCAGCAGUUAGCAGGAACCGUACAUCCAUCCCAAAAUAUCAUUAUGGAAGAAAUCGCUGACACUACACUUCAUCUCAAUUCUCAUUAGGAUAGUUGAAGUAUGAAGUUAUUCUUAUGUAUUUAUACUUAUCUGCAGAUCCUCGGGAUGAUCUAGGUGGUAUGGAUGCAGCAAGAAAGGUUAGGAAACGUCUUUCUUCUGAUUAAACUUACAGUGUCCAAGAUUUCAAUCCAUUUAUAUUGCCAAAUUAUUAUGCUGAUUAAGCAUUAUCUUUCUUUUUUCUUUAUCUGAACUUACCUGCAGUCUUACAGUAUGCAUAAUUGAUACAAUUAUUCUAUUUUGCAAAGGCUGGCUAUGAUAUUAUGUAAAAAGGCUGGCUAUGAUAUUAUGUGAAAAGAUCUGAGCUUCCAAUAUUGGAGACCCUAUAACCUUUAAAAUCCUCUGUUCAACCCAUAUGCAACAACUAUAUAACUCAACUGGAAAUGGCUAAGAAUCAAAUAUACGAUACUCCAAGACCACUCAAUUCUUUGUUUAUAAGCCAACAUAAACAAUAUGAUACAAUUAUUCUGUUUUGCAAUGUCAACUGCAACGAGUCUGAACCAUUGAAUUAACCAUCUAAAAGAACGUAAUUAAAAGUAAAUUUUGAAAAAAGAACGAAAAACUAGUUGAGUGAUUGGUGAUUAUCAUUUGCUUAUUCUGUUUUUUCCCCUUAUCAUGGUUACUUGUAAGUAUAAUCUCGUAAGGAAAAAAAACAUUCAAGCCAGUCCCAUCUGGAUAUAAAAUUCAAGGUUUCUUCUAGUCUGUGAUUCUGCUAUUCUCUUUUGUAUCAUGAAAAGUGUCUCGUUAGCUAUAGUCAUAUGUGCAUGAGAGUGUAGAGGGAGCAUCUCUGCUUCAUAUUUCAAGUACUUUGUUAUAAUCUUUCCUUAAUUUGUAUUUGGGAUGAUGAUGUCUUUGGGGGGUAGAAAAGCUGUGAUUAAGCCAGAAUCAUUUUCGCAGAUUGCGAUGGGAAGCAUAUCUUAUCCAACUUAAUAUAGUUAAUACUUGGUUUCUCGGUACCUUUCAUGAAACGUUCAUAGUUCUAAUUGGUUCUGUAAAUUUUGAGAAGUUGAACAUCCCUCAUAACAAUAUUUUGUUUUGAUGUCUUCAUAACAGGCUCUAAUUCUUGCUCGGCUCCUUGGACGACGUUUAAACCUAGAUAAUAUGAAGGUUAGGAUACAUGUCACCAUGUCUCUUUGUUUUGUUACUAGCUCAAUUAGCUUCAGAAACCUUGAUGCAUAUGCAAAUCCCUUUUCAGAUUGAAAGCUUGUAUCCUGAAGAAAUGGGACCAGAUGUGAUGCCUCUGGAAGACUUUCUAGUGAAUGGCCUUCCCUUACUUGAUAAGAAAAUUGAAGAUAGGACUAAACAAGCUUGAAUUUUCUGCGUUAGUUUGCUUGAUGAUGAUGCGUGGUAAUUCUUUCACUUCAUUUUUAGUUUGCUCAAUGGAUAAUGACAACUUGAUCUUUUAUUCUAAUCACAUUCUGCAAGUCACCAUACCUCUAGCAGCUUAAAGCAAAGCUUGCUCACUGACGGGAGUGUUAUGGUCAGUUGUUCACCUCUCGUAUCCACGACCAAUUAAAGAACGAGUUAGAAGUAUAAAUCUGUAAUGGCAUAGAUGAGGGAACAUUGAACUAUCUUUAAAUGAUAGUUCCAAAAUAUUUUCAUUAAUUAGUUCUUUUUUCAUGUAUUUAGGGUUGGGAAGGUGGCAGAUGGGUAUGCAGAAUUAUCAUAUUUUUUUCUUGAGACUUAUGUUGAGAAAAUUGUUAUAAGCUCUUGUAUUUAGUAUAACAUCAAUUGAAAAUUGGGAAGCAAAAACUUGUCGGCUCAUUCUACAUAAGACCUAUGUUUGGAUUUACAAAAACAACAUACCCAAUGUAACCCCACAAGUGGGGUUUGGGGAGGAUAGGAUGUAUGCAGACCUUGUCUGGAUUUGUUUGAAUAUAAUUCACUAACAUGUUCAUAUGGUAAUGAUGGGUUCGUUUGGAUGCAAAAUGGCAAUGUUAUCCAUACUAGUAGAAACUUAGAAUCUAUCUUUGGUUUCUUUAAGCGGUUUGGUCUCACCUUGUAAGGUUUGAAGUUUCAUUUCUUGUAUUGUCUUGAACAAGUGUAUAUCAAGGAGUAUUUAUUAACUUGUUGGUUGAAGAAAAAAAAUAGAUAUUUCUGUUUAUUGGUUUUUGUCUUCUUGAUAAGUGUCUACUUUAGAACUAUUAUGAAUUGUUCUAGCAAAAUCAACUGCUACAAACAGCUUCACUGAAAACAAAUAGCACAGAAGAAAGUGUCUGGCGGUCUGCUGCUUGGGGAAAAAUUGAUUAUUGAAAACACUUUUGUGUACAUGACAUUAACAUCACUCAUUUUCAGAUAUGAAGUUGGCAUCCAAGAAGUUCCAAAAGAUUUUGCAUUGGGAAGAUUAAGAGGAAGUGAUAAUGUGGUGCGCAUUGUGCACUUUCACCUCCCAUUUUGCUGUUUCUUUGGUCCCUCUUCUUUUUGUUCCAUUACUUUGUUUUCCGUUGGGAAUUUUCUUUUAACUGCUAUGGAGGUUCAACCAUAUCAUACUCGUCGUUAUUAGAUUAUCAAGGUAAAACAUUUUUAAUUGUUUAAAGCCCUUUUGUGAUGUCAUUUUUGUAGUGAUGUAUUACAUCAUGCUGUGAUUUUAAAGAAUUGCUCAUCUUUUACCCAUGCCUAAGGCGAACGCUUUACUUUGUCUUUACUCUUUACACAUCAUCUGGUGUCGCCCUGCAAAACUUUGUGCAGUUAAGGUCUUUGAUUCUAUUCUACCUUAAUCGUAGAAUGUAUCCCUUGUACUAAUUAGGAGGUAAUACAAACAGUAAGAUUAAUGACUUGGUUUUGUCGAAGAAUGACUAUGAUGAUUGAACGUCUGUAAUUUGGAUUGUUUGUCUACAGGUGGAGAUAUACAGCCGUUGUUACGAGAAACAACCUUUGGUUAUCCAAGGCGCUGGAGCAGGAAAUGAUACCACAGCAGCUGGUGUCCUAGCUGAUAUCCUUGACAUUCAAGAUUUAUUCCCUUGACCGAGUAUUAUACACUGAGAUACAAACAUUCGAUCCUCAAAGGAUGAAAAAUCGACUCUUCUUGUCCCUCUGCUUCAAUCAUUGAAGACUGAAAUCAGGCUCAUUUAGCACAUCCAUUUUUUGAAAAAAAAUUCGACACGUGAGAGUGCGUUGUCAGUUUAUGGAAAAUUAUUGCACGAUUUCUCGCGUCUAUCUUGUCACUAGUGAAAUUGAUCAUAUAUUUGCCUCAUUGCUUGACUAGUUUUUAAGAUUUCACUUCAGCUUAUAAUCAGUUUAUGUUGUAAUGACCAUUUUGGUACCUAAACUUUUUAUGUUACUACAAUUUUAGAGACUUAGUUAUUAUGCUUUCAGAAUAACAAAAGGGUUAAUACAACGUGUAGGAUGACUUGAGAAAUCUUUUUGUACAAGGAGAUAUAGGAAGUAAGAUCAUUGUAACAACACGCAAAGAGUGUGUUGCCUUGGUGAUGGGAAAUGAGCAAAUUAGCAUGGAGAAUCUAUAUAUGGACUACCUAUUUCAUUUUAUGAGAAGAGAAGAGAAUUUUAAAAAUGAUGUUGGCCUUUUCUUUUCUUCGACUGUCAGCUAUACAAAACCAAGACAAAUGUUGUAAUGGAGAACUUGUUCCCUCCAGCACUAUCUUCAUUUAUCUUUAUCCUGACAAAAUUUAGAAAGUAGAAAACGUAAAACAAAGAAAAUAAUAAGGAAGAAAGUGUGAAGAUUUACCAAAACUCUUGCUUCCAGUAAUGAAUAGUCAAGAAACCAGACUGGCAGACUCCAUAAUUAUUUUCUAUGGCUGUGAGCUGCAGACUGUAGAUAAAACAUAGUUGUACCAAUUACAAGCAAAAGAGAGGGGGAGAAAUCAUUCUUGAUUAUAUAUCACUCUUAGCUCUUAGCAUUCAACAGGUAAAAUAAAAUUGUUAGUAAUUGAAGUUUGAAACAUUUAUCUUCUUAAAAUCAUUUUAAGAAGAUAUCAUUUAAACCAUAUGGCAAUCUAGCUCGGCAAGAGAUACAUGCUAAAGUAUAUCCUGCUCGGGAUGAAUUCAAGGUUAGAUAAUAAAAUAAUGAUUUACUCGUGUUUCAGUUAUCAAGAUGCUUAUUUUGUAGUAAUAGUUUCCUCUCUCAUAAAUCAGCGAAAUAGAUUUCCUUCAUUGGCACCCUCAUCAGUCAUCAAUCAGCAAAACAGAGAAAUCAACGGUUUCAAAAUUCUCUGGAACCCAUUUCGAGCUUCACGCCUUCAAUUCUGAUGACACAAAAGACAUCAACAGAGUAGAAGAAUUCAACCCAAGUUUUCGACUCCUGCUUCACCUGAUGAGAAGAAGUUUACGGGAGAAAGUUUGCCUUAGGUAUUAAUUUCUAUUUUCGCUGUUUAGAUAUGUUUCCUGUAGCUCCUAAUUGUGAUGCUUCAUUUACACAUUUUUAAAAUUUUAUCUAAUAACAGGGAUACAGUAUGUCCGAGUCAACUUGAUGUUACAAACUUGCAGCUAAUUGUUGUGCGUUAUAUUUUUGCAUAUCAUGAAGAAUCCGGGAUGAAGACAUAGACCCGUAGUGUGAAAGGGGUAAGAGAGUUCCAUCUGCAAUGUUAACAAAAUCUUAUAUAAAAAUAAUAUAUACGAAAAUUAAUUUAUAAAAAUUAUAUACCAAAUUGAAAACUUAAAAUCAAUAUUAUAAAAAUAUUACAUCUUAUAUAUAUAAAAGAGAACCUUAUGCCCGCCUACGUGGCGCCACCACAAACCAGAAUUCUCUUUAAAUUUAUUUAUUUCCAAAACUAGCCUUCCUCUUUUAAUGAAAAGUUGUGACAUUUAUGAAAAAUUGUGAAUUUUAUGAAAAGUUUUGACUUUAACUAGCCUUCCCCUUUCAUGAAAAGUUGUGACUUUUAUGAAAAAUUGCGACUUUAAUGAAGAGUUGUGACUUUUAUGAAAAAUUCUGACUUUUAUGAAAGGUUGUGACCUUUCCGAAGGGUUGCAACCUUUCUAAUAAAUCACAAUAAACAUUUGUUCACAUUACCCUUUGUUGUCUAUAAAUAGAGGGAUUUCCUCUCAUUUUAAAACAACUGAAAUUCUGAAUCUCUUCUUCUUCUUCACAAUUAAAUAUUUGUUUGUUUUGCUCAUGUUGAGUGGCUCAGUGAUACCAUUGCUUAUGUUACAGAUCCUGGUAUGUAUUUUUACAGUCAUUAAUUUAUGCUUAUGUUAUUAAGAAUAAAUGAUAAAGAUGUAAUAAUUUUCAUUUUCCUUUACAUUAUUAAUUUUUGUUACUACGUAAUCUUAUAUGUAAGAUAAUAUAGUGUUUUUGUUUUAAUGACUGAUAGGUUUUUAAGUAUUAUUUUAUAAAUUCCAUGAUACUAUUAAAUUCCCGAGCGAAGCGCGGGUAAUUUUACCAGUAAAAGAUAAUUAAGUAUACUGCGAACUUAAUUAAAAUAUAAAAUUUAUAAUAUGUUAAAUUAAUUUUUUUUAAUAUUAUACAAAUUCAGAGUUGCACAUGUUCACCCUUGUGCUUUGAUAAAAUGCAGAAUCUUAUGUAUAAAAAAAUACAAGAGGUUGUGGUGAAAGUUUAUUUCCAAUAGAAAUACGUGAAUUUGGUGGUAUGCCGUCCCCACCAAAGACAUAACCUAUAUUUAUAAAGAUUAUGAAAACUUACUAGUUCAAGAAAAAAAGAAGUGAUGUAUGAUUGAGAAAAGAAAGGAAGAGAGUUUGUAGCGAGAGAGAGAUAUGGAAAGUUUCGCAAAGAGAGAGAGGCAUAUUUUGUUGUGUAUUAAAUAAGUCUGAAUAUUAUUAAACUUAUUAGCAAAUUUUAUUCGUUUUGAUUCUUUUUUCUUCUAUGGCUGUCCACCCACCAAAAUAAAUAAAAUAUCCUUCCUCUUUUGCCUCAAUUGUUGGCUAAAAGUCAACUCAUGGAAAAGAGACAAUUUAAAUUAUUAUUAUUAUUUUCCUAUAGCUGUCAGUUGUAGAUGGUAGAAAACUAUAGUUGUACCAAUUAUAGAUCACUGAUUAUUCUUGUUUGCAAAUUACUCUUAGUAAUUGAAGAUAGAAACAUUUAUCAUUUUGUGUUGCUUUGCAGAUUUCAGAAAUGGAAAUUGGGUUAGCAGUUGGUGGUGCAUUUCUCUCUUCAGCUUUGAAUGUUCUCUUUGAUAGGCUUGCUCCUCACGGUGAUCUUCUCAACAUGUUUCAGAAUCAUACGAAUGAUGUUCGGAUCUUUAAGAAGCUGAGAGCGACUUCGGAUGGUCUUAAGAUUGUGCUAAGUGAUGCAGAGAAUAAGCAAGCAUCAAAUCCAUCGGUGAGCGAGUGGCUUGAUGAGCUUCGAGAUGGUGUGCACUCUGCUGAAAACUUAAUGAGAAGUUAAUUAUGAAGCUUUGAGGCUUAAGGUGGAAGGCCAGCAUCAAAAUCUUGCAGAAACAAGCGACCAGCAAGUAAUUUGAUAUUUUGAUAAUUUGAUUGAUUCAGGAUGAACGUCGAUCGUAUGAUUACAUGGAUUCACAACCAGAUAUCAACGUCAGGGUCAGAGCUAGAAAAUUUUCUGGAAGGCUGAACUACUUGAAAAAAAUGAAAGUUACAUUACUGCACACAGAUGCGAGAUCAAGAGAAACUUUUUAGAUCUGUUGUCGAUAUUCUUAGCAGUGUAACUCAUGUGCACAUUCUACAGCAAAAAGUACAGUAAGUAGAAGAACUCAAUUUUUAGCAAUGAAAUGGCACCAUUUUCUCACACUCAAAAUGAUCUUAAAUUUCAUGAAUGAAACAAUCAUAUAUUACUUAGCUUGAAGCCCCAUUUUCUUCCUCGUUUUCCCAACGUAUAAAUCCUUAGACUUGCUCAUCUCGGGGACUAAUCCAAUGAUCGUCGUGAAUGAAAAUUGAGCCACUACUUCGAGGCUCGUAUAUUGCAAGUUUGCUUUCUUUUCCUCCGCUCAUCAAAAGUUUCAAGUUCUUCGCGGUCAUUAGAGCAUGUUUUUGAGCCGAAUAUCCUUGUUUAAGUUCCUGAUAGCAAAGAAGCAUUAGAGUUCAAUUGAACAAUAAUAACAUACACAGUAUAGUCUCACAAGUAGAGACUGUGGAGUGUUUACGCAGACUUUAUCCCUACCUUGUCAAGUAAGAACUCAAUUGAAUAAUAGAAUCAAAACUCAAGUAAUAGAUAGCUGCUUCAGGUCCUCUGCCUACUGCUAUAUUAUCAAAAUGCCUUCUAAAUUCGACAUAUAUAUUCUUCAACUGUAGUUUCUCUUGUAACAACAACAACAAAUCCUUAUGUUUCUAUGACCCUUGAUUCUAAGAUUCUCAUCAACCUUCAAUCUUCCAAAAUUAUCGAUUCGAUCCUUCAAAUACGUCUCCCUUAACCACUCUGAACUCGGUGGCUUUCCCGUGCAAAGAAAAUUGGCUGAAUCCCAUGAAAUUACUAGUACAUCUUGACAUCUUUGUAAAAGAGUAGAUCGCAGUCAUGAUCAAGACAAUUGGUUGAAUCCCGUGAAAUUAACUUAAAUCUAAUAUAAAAAUAUUAUACCCUUUAACUUGGCCUCAACUCCUAAAUAUGCCCUCCAACUUUGGAUGUACUCGAGUAGUCAGUUAAAUUUGUAUAAAGUUGAAUAAAUAGAUACAAGCGUCCUAAGUGACAUCUUACAUGACAAUUUUUCAUCUGACGUGUCUUGUAUGUAUUAUGUCACGUAAGACUUGUGUGUCUAUUUGUUCAACUUUAUACAAGUUAAAGUGUUUACUUGUGCAUACCCAAAGUUGGAAGACAUAAAUGUGAAAUGAUGCCAAGUUAAAGAGCAUAUUAUUCAAAAUUCAAAAAUAGGGUUUGAAGUUUCAAUUCCAUUGAUGGAUAACGUUACAAUUUUAGUGUAGCACAAUGGAACUUGGAAUUCAAACAACCACUACAAUAAUUAUCACAUUGAUGCAAUUUUAGUCAAUUCUACUUCCAAUUUGACAAAUUUGGUCAUAAAUUUAUCUUAUUAUCCUUGACAGAAUGUUAUGGAUGGUUCUAAAAUUAUGAAAUAAAAUGUAUUUAUUAGGAUAAAUUUACUUUUUUACCCUUGGUCGUUCUUGGUCUCCACAUUUCUAUAUAGUAGAAAAAUUCAAGAGGUCAUUUUCAGAUAAUUUAACAUCUAAAAGCAUCCAAACAAUGAUCUACCUGGCCUCAACUAUUAGUAACUUUUAAUUAUUAUUUUUUCUUGAUCGGAUUUUGGUAAUGAUUAUGUUCUUUGCUUAGCUAGUGAAAGUUUUAUUUCCAAUAUAAAUAUGUGAAUUUUGGUGGUAUGUGAUCCCCACUAAAUUAUAUGUCAACUCUUUUUUCCCUUUUUAAAAUAGGAAUAAUACAUAAACAAUUUCUUAGUACACGUUAGAACUUACUAUAUAUGCUUAGAGUAAUUGUUUAAUUGUUUAAUUCUACACCAUAACUCCACGUUAUUGCCACUAUACCAAAAAGUCAAUCCUCCCAAUUUGAACCAUCCAUUUAUUCCAACCUACCCAAUAACUUAAAGCUUGAGGCAAUCCUCCCAAUUCGAAAAGUCUUUUUCUCUGAACAUAUGACAUGUAUUUAUUGGUUUAUUGUAAAUAACAAAUACAAAUACGUUUUCACCUAAUCUGAGUUUGUUUGGGGUGUUUUAUCUCUCACUAUCAAGAGGAACUUUAUCACAACGAUUCAAGCUCGAAAUCUCUAAUUAAAUACGAAAAAUUAUAUAUCUUUUUUUUUUUAUAAGGGAAAGAUCCUCUUGAUGUUAUCAAAUUCCCAACUUGGCAUGCUUUAAAGUAUAAAAAAAAUAUUAUGAAGACAGAGUCUUGUUGUUGGGUGAAAAGUCAUCCUCAUGGAAAAGACAGCUUAAAUUCUUUUUUUCCCUAUAGUUGUCACUGUAGAAAACUAUUGUUGUACCAAUAUUCUUGUUUGCAAAUUACUCUUAGCAUUCAACAGGUAAAGUAAAGUUCCUUUAGUAAUUGAAACAUUUAUCUUCUCAAAAUCAUUUUGUGUUUCCUUGUUUUGCUUGCAGAUUUCAGAAAUGGAGGUCGGCUUAGCAGUUGGUGGUGCAUUUCUCUCUUCAGCUUUGAAUGCUCUCUUUGACAGGCUUGCUCCUCAUGGUGAUCUGAUGAAGAUGUUUCAGAAGCAUAAGGAUCAUGUUCAGCUCUUACAGAAGCUGCAGGACAUUUUUCUUGGUCUUCAGAUUGUGCUAAGUGAUGCAGAGAAUAAGCAAGCAUCAAAUCGACACGUGAGCCAGUGGUUUAAUAAGCUUCAGAGUGCUGUGAACGGCGCUGAAAACUUGAUAGAAGAAGUCAAUUAUGAAGCUUUGAGGCUUAAGGUGGAAGGCCAGCAUCAAAAUCUUGCAGAAACAAGCAACAAACAAGUAAGUGACCUCAACCUGUGCUUGAGUGAUGAUUUAUUUCGUAACAUAAAGGAUAAGUUGGAAGAAACCAUUGAAACAUUGGAGGUGUUGGAAAAGCAAAUUGGUCGCCUUGGCUUAAAGGAGAAUUUUGUUUCGACUAAACAAGAAACUAGAACACCUUCAACUUCUUUGGUUGAUGAUUCUGAUAUCUUUGGAAGGCAGAGUGAAAUAGAGGAUUUGAUUGACCGUUUAUUGUCUGAAGAUGCAAGUGGAAAAAAGCUCACUGUAGUUCCUAUAGUUGGAAUGGGCGGCGUGGGUAAGACAACACUUGCUAAAGCCGUUUACAAUGAUGAGAAGGUGAAGGACCAUUUUGGUUUGAAAGCUUGGUUUUGUGUUUCUGAGGCAUAUGACGCUUUCAGAAUAACAAAAGGUUUACUUCAAGAAAUUGGCUCAUUUGACUUAAAGGAUGACAACAAUCUUAAUCAGCUACAAGUCAAAUUGAAGGAAAGAUUAAAGGGAAAAAAGUUUCUUAUUGUUCUGGAUGAUGUCUGGAAUGACAACUACAACGAGUGGGAUGACUUGAGAAAUGUUUUUGUACAAGGAGAUAUAGGAAGUAAGAUCAUUGUGACGACACGUAAAGAGAGUGUUGCCUUGAUGAUGGGUAGUGGGGCAAUCAACGUGGGGACUCUGUCUGAUGAAGUCUCUUGGGAACUAUUCAAACGACAUUCACUAGAAAACAGGGAUCCUGAGGAAUAUCCAGAACUUAAAGAGAUUGGAAAACAAUUUGCAGACAAGUGCAAAGGUUUGCCUUUAGCUCUAAAGGCACUUGCUGGUGUUUUACGCGGUAAAUCAGAGGUGGAUGAGUGGAGAGACAUUUUGAGAAGUGAAAUAUGGGAGCUUCCAAGUUGUUCGAAUGGUAUAUUACCAGCGCUGAUGUUGAGCUACAAUGAUCUUCCUGCACAUUUGAAGCAAUGUUUUGCUUAUUGUGCAAUAUAUCCCAAAGAUUAUCAAUUUCGCAAGGACCAAGUUAUUCACUUGUGGAUUGCUAAUGGUCUUGUACAGCAGUUGCAUUCAGGUAACCAAUACUUUCUUGAGUUGAGAUCAAGAUCAUUGUUCGAAAGGGUCCCAGAGUCUGAAUGGAAACCGGAGGGAUUCUUAAUGCAUGACCUUGUCAAUGAUUUGGCCCAAAUUGCAUCUUCAAAUCUUUGUAUAAGGUUGGAAGAGAACAAAGGAUCGCACAUGUUGGAACAAUGUCGGCACAUGUCCUAUUCAAUAGGAGAAGGUGGUGAGUUUGAGAAAUUGAAAUCACUCUUUAAAUCAGAGCAGCUGAGGACAUUACUUGCAAUCAAUAUCCAGCUCUAUGAUUACAAAAUUAAGCUAAGCAAGAGGGUGUUGCAUAACAUAUUGCCAAGACUAACAUCCUUAAGGGCAUUAUCGUUGUCACGCUAUGAGAUUGUUGAGUUGCCAAAUCACUUGUUUAUUGAAUUAAAGCUCCUGAGAUUUUUGGAUAUUUCUCGGACAAAGAUUAAAAGGUUGCCAGAUUCCAUUUGUGGAUUGUAUAACUUAGUGACACUUCUCCUGUCAUCUUGUGCUGAUCUUGAGGAGCUACCGCUGCAGAUGGAGAUGUUGAUCAACUUGCGUCAUCUUGACAUAAGCAACAUUUCUCUCUUGAAGAUGCCACUAUAUCUGAGCAAGUUGAAAAGCCUCCAAGUGUUAGUGGGAGCCAAGUUUCUUUAGGUGGUUCGAGAAUGGAAGAUUUGGGUGAAGUACAUAACUUGUACGGAUCUCUAUCGGUUGUAGAGUUGCAAAAUGUGGUUGAUAGUAGGGAAGCUGUGAAGGCAAAGAUGAGAGAGAAGAUUCAUGUUGGCAAGUUAUCAUUGGAGUGGAGUGAAAGUAGUAGUGUCGACAAUUCACAAACUGAAAGAGACAUUCUUGAUGAGCUACGCCCACAUAAAAACAUACAAGAAGUCCGAAUCACCGGAUAUAGAGGGGACAAAAAUUUCCAAAUUGGCUAGCUGAUGUUUCGUUUCUUAAGCUAGUAGAAUUGUCUCUUAUAAACUGCAAGAACUGUUAUUCCUUGCCAGCACUAGGACAGCUUCCUUGUUUGAAAUUCCUUUCCAUUAGAGGGAUGUAUGGAAUAACAGAGGUGACGGAAGAAUUCUAUGGCAGUUUGUCCUCCAAAAAGCCUUUUAACGCUCUUGAGAAGCUUGUAUUUGAAGAUAUGCCGGAGUGGAAGCAAUGGCAUGUACUAGGAAAUGGAGAGUUCCCUACACUUGAGAAGCUUUUAAUUAUAAAUUGCCAUGAACUCAGUUUGGAAACACCCAUCCAACUUUCAUGUUUAAAAAGGUUUGAAGUUGAUGGUUGUCAUAAGGUUGGAGAUGCUCAAAUGUUUAGAUCCCAACUUGAGGGAAUGAAGCAGAUUGUUGAAUUAGAUAUUAGUGAUUGUAACUCUAUUACCUCCUUUCCUUUUAGCGUUCUUCCCACUACCUUGAAGAGAAUAGUUAUAUCUGGUUGCCAGAAAUUGAAAUUGGAGCAGCCAGUUGGUGAGAUGAGUAUGUUUCUCGAGGAAUUGAAACUGCAAGAAUGUGAUUGUAUAGAUGAUAUAUCACCUGAGAUGCUCCCAACAGCACGCAGAUUGUUUGUAUGUAAUUGCCAGAACCUUACUAGGCUUUUUAUUCCUACUGCCACUGAAAGUCUCUAUAUUGCUUAUUGUGUGAAUCUUGAAAUACUUUCGGUGGCAUGUGGGAAGACCCAGAUGAUGUAUUUUCCAGAACGUAUGCAGGAACUCCUCCCAUCUCUUAAGACACUGAUUCUAUCUAAUUGUCCAGAAAUAGAGUCCUUUCCUGAAGGAGGAUUGCCCUUCAAUUUACAACAACUUCAUAUCUACAAUUGCAAGAAACUGGUGAAUGGCCGAAAGGAAUGGCAUUUACACAGACUUCCCUGUCUCAGAGAGUUAAGCAUCUACCAUGAUGGCAGUGACGAAGAGAUUGUUGGUGGUGAGAAUUGGGAAUUGCCUUCCUUUAUUCAAAGACUUACCAUAUACAAUCUGAAAACAUUAAGGAGCCAAGAUAUCAGAAGCCUCACCUCUCUUCAAUAUCUAUGUAUUGGUAAUUUAUCUCAAUUUCAGUCAAUGCUAGAAGAAGGGCAGCUCACUUCACUUCAAAGUCUAGACAUCAAUAAUUUCCCUAAUCUCCAAUCACUUUCCGAAUCAGCACUGCCCUCCUCCCUCUCUGAGCUGACCAUCAAUAAUUGCCCUAAGCUCCAAUCCCUUCCAGUAAAAGGGAUGCCCUCUUCCCUCUCUAAACUAUCAAUUCGCGACUGUCCAUUGCUCACACCAUUACUAGAAUUUGACAAGGGGGAAUACUGGCCAAAUAUUGCUCAAAUUCCUACCAUAACGAUCGACGAGGAUUCCAUGUGAUGAUUAAAAAGAAUGACUCUCCAACUGAUGUAACUUAUUCUUUUCCAUCAUAAGCUUUUUACUUUUAUUUACAUCACUUUGCAUUUUUGUUAAUUAUUUUCCUUUUUUAAACCUUUUUGAGCAGUCUAUUGCUCAAACCAUGGCUACUGACCAAAAAUUGCUCAUAUUUCCACCAUAAAUGUUCAUUGGGAGAACCUCCAAUAGAUGUAAGUUUUUCUAUUUCCUUAGUAUCUUUUGAUUUUCGGUUACUUCUCUUUGCUUGUUCCUUAAUUCUUUUUCUAUGUUGCAGAGAUGAAGUCUUGAGGAUAAAAAUAUGUUUUACUCCUCUUGAUAUGCAGAUAUGUUGCAGAGAUGAAGUCGCUGUGAGAUACAUUUAAAGUAUAUCCUGUUUGGGAUGAAUUCAAGGUGAGAUAACAAAAUAAUGAUUUACUCGUGUUUCAGUUACCAAUAUGCUUAUUUUGUUGUAAUAGUUUGCACUCUCAUAAAUCAGCGAAAUAGAUUUCUUCAUUGGCACCCUCAUCAGUCAUCAGUCUGCGAAACAGAGAAAUCAACGGUUUCAAAAUUCUCUAGAACCCAUUUCGAGCUUCACGCCUUCAAUUCUGAUGACACAAAAGACAUCAACAGAGUAGAAGAAUUCAACCCAACUCCCAUAAUGAACCCAAGUUUUCGAUUCCGCUUCACCUGAUGGGAAGAAGUUUACGAGUGAGAAAGGUCUAAAGGUACAAAUAUAUUGUCUUCCCCCUUUCUUAUUGCGGUGCUUAAAUUGGUUUUGCCCCACUUUGCAUCAUAAUGAUGUUGGAGUAUAUCGGUUUUCUACUGGUAUUCAGAUACUUAAAAUGGGAAAUUGCGUUUGAAAAUAUCGUUUUCAUUGUUCGAAUGUUUUUUAAAUCAUCUGUUGAUCCAAAAUUUUCAUUUUUCUGUUGAUCUUCUUCUAUCUUUAGUUUUACAUGUCUUCUGAUUGAGUUAUAAUACAUUCCUUGAUUCUAUAGAAGAUGAGAAAUCGUCAAAUGCCUACAAGUGGAGUCUGCAAAAAGUAGAGUUUACGCAUACUUUAUUCCUACCUUGUCAAUUGAAUAAUAGACUCAAAAUUCAAGUAAUAGAUAGCUGCUUCAGGUCCUCUGGCUACUGCUAUAUUAUAAAAAUGCCUUCUAAAUUCGACAUAUAUAUUCUUUAACUGUAGUUUCUCUUGCAACAACAACAACAAAUCCUUAUGUUUCUAUGACCCUUGAUUCUAAGAUUUUUAUCAACCUUCAAUCUUCAAAAAUUAUCGAUUCGAUCCUUCAGAUGCAUCUCCCUUAACCACUCUGAACCCGGUGGCUUUCCCAUGCAAAGAAAAUUGGCUGAAUCCCGUGAAAUUACUAGCUAGUACCUCUCGACAUCUUUGUAAAAGAGUAGAGAAGUCACGAUCAAGACAAUAGGUGAAUCUCGUGAAAUUAACUUAAAUCUAAUAUAAAAAUAAUAUAACCUUUAACUUGGCCUCAACUCAUAUAUAUGCCCUCCAACUUUGGAUGUGCGCAGGUAGAGACUUAAAUUUGUAUAGAGUUGAAUAAAUAGACACAAACGACCUAAGUGACAUCUUACAUGACAAUUUUCAUCUUACGUGGUGUCUUGUGUGCAUUAUGCCACGUAAGGCACAUGUGUUUAUUUGUUCAAUUUUAUGCAAUUUAAAGUGUCUAUUUGUGCAUACCCAAAGUUGGAGGACACAAAUGUGAAAUGAGGUCAAGUUAAAGGCCAUAUUAUUCAAAUUUCAUAGGGUUUGAAGUUUCAAUUUCAUUGAUGGAUAACGUUACAAUUUUGGUGCAACACAAUGGAACUUGAGAUUCAAACAACCACUAUGACCAAAGAACAAAAAAAACGGUUAACCGAGAGUCCUUGCCCGACAAAAAGCAAGGGUUUGCUUGUAGAAUGGGGGUAGGGCCGACAAUUUUUCUGGAUAGAUCGAACUAUUGGAAGAAAAUAAAAAAGAAAGACCGAGUGUUGUCACAUUGAUGCAAUUCUAGUCAAUUCCAUUUCCAAUUCAUAGAUCUAGUCACAAAUUUACCUUUUUUAUCCUUGGCGGAAUGUAAUGGAUAGUUCUAGAUAUAUGAAGAAAAUGUAUUUAUUAGUGUAAAUUUACUUCUUUACCCUUGGUCUUUCUUUGUCUUCACAUUUCUGUAUAGUAGAAAAGAAAAACACAAGAGGUCAUUUCUAGAUAAUUUAACAUCUAAAAUCAUCCAAACAACGAUCUACCUGGCCUCAACUAUUAGCGAGUUUUAAUUAUUAUUUUUUCUUGAUCGGAUUUUGGUAACGAUAGAUUCUUUGCUUAGUUGGCGAAAGUUUUAUUUCCAAUAUAAAAUGUGAAUUUUGGUGGUAUGUGGUCCCCACUAAAUUAUAGGUCAACUCUUUUUUUCCUUUUUAAAAUAGGAAUAAUACAUAAACAAUUUCUUAGUACACGUUAGAACUUACUAUAUAUGCUUAGAGUAAUUAUUUAAUUCUACACCAUAACUCCACGUUAUUGCCACUAUACCAAAAAGUCAAGCCUCCCAAUUUGAAACCAUCCAUUUAUUCCAACCUAUCCAAUAAAUUAAAGCUUGAGGCAAUCCUCCCAAUUCGAAAAGUCUUUUUCUAAACAUAUGACAUGUAUUUAUUGGUUUAUUGUAAAUAACAAAUACNNNNNNNNNNNNNNNNNNNNNNNNNNNNNNNNNNNNNNNNNNNNNNNNNNNNNNNNNNNNNNNNNNNNNNNNNNNNNNNNNNNNNNNNNNNNNNNNNNNNNNNNNNNNNNNNNNNNNNNNNNNNNNNNNNNNNNNNNNNNNNNNNNNNNNNNNNNNNNNNNNNNNNNNNNNNNNNNNNNNNNNNNNNNNNNNNNNNNNNNNNNNNNNNNNNNNNNNNNNNNNNNNNNNNNNNNNNNNNNNNNNNNNNNNNNNNNNNNNUAGCUGCUUCAGGUCCUCUGGCUACUGCUAUAUUAUAAAAAUGCCUUCUAAAUUCGACAUAUAUAUUCUUUAACUGUAGUUUCUCUUGCAACAACAACAACAAAUCCUUAUGUUUCUAUGACCCUUGAUUCUAAGAUUUUUAUCAACCUUCAAUCUUCCAAAAUUAUUGAUUCGAUCCUUCAAAUAUGUCUCCCUUAACCACUCUGAACCCGGUGGCUUUCCCAUGCAAAGAAAAUUGGCUGAAUCCCGUGAAAUUACUAGCUAGUACCUCUCGACAUCUUUGUAAAAGAGUAGAGAAGUCACGAUCAAGACAAUAGGUGAAUCUCGUGAAAUUAACUUAAAUCUAAUAUAAAAAUAAUAUAACCUUUAACUUGGCCUCAACUCAUAUAUAUGUCCUCCAACUUUGGAUGUGCGCAGGUAGAGACUUAAAUUUGUAUAGAGUUGAAUAAAUAGACACAAACGACCUAAGUAACAUCUUACAUGAAAAUUUUCAUCUUACGUGGUGUCUUGUGUGUAUUAUGCCACGUAAGGCACAUGUGUUUAUUUGUUCAAUUUUAUACAAUUUAAAGUGUCUACUUGUGCAUACCCAAAGUUGGAGGACAUAAAUGUGAAAUGAGGUCAAGUUAAAGGCCAUAUUAUUCAAAUUUCAUAGGGUUUGAAGUUUCAAUUUCAUUGAUGGAUAACGUUACAAUUUUAGUGCAACACAAUGGAACUUGAGAUUCAAACAACCACUAUGACCAAAGAACAAAAAAAACGGCUAACCGAGAGUCCUUGCCCGACUAAAAGAAAGGGUUUGCUGGUAGAAUGGGGUAGGCCGACAAUUUUUCUGGAUAGAUCGAACUAUUGGAAGAAAAUAAAAAAGAAAGACCGAGUGUUGUCACAUUGAUGCAAUUCUAGUCAAUUCCAUUUCCAAUUCAUAGAUCUAGUCACAAAUUUACCUUUUUAUCCUUGGCGGAAUGUAAUGGAUGGUUCUAGAUAUAUGAAGAAAAUGUAUUUAUUAGUGUAAAUUUACUUCUUUACCCUUGGUCUUUCUUUGUCUUCACAUUUCUGUAUAGUAGAAAAGAAAAACACAAGAGGUCAUUUCUAGAUAAUUUAACAUCUAAAAUCAUCCAAACAACGAUCUACCUGGCCUCAACUAUUAGCGAGUUUUAAUUAUUAUUUUUUCUUGAUCAGAUUUUGGUAACGAUAGAUUCUUUGCUUAGUUGGCGAAAGUUUUAUUUCCAAUAUAAAAUGUGAAUUUUGGUGGUAUGUGGUCCCCACUAAAUUAUAGGUCAACUCUUUUUUUCCUUUUUAAAAUAGGAAUAAUACAUAAACAAUUUCUUAGUACACGUUAGAACUUACUAUAUAUGCUUAGAGUAAUUAUUUAAUUCUACACCAUAACUCCACGUUAUUGCCACUAUACCAAAAAGUCAAUCCUCCCAAUUUGAAACCAUCCAUUUACUCCAACCUACCCAAUAACUUGAAGCUUGAGGCAAUCCUCCCAAUUCGAAAAGUCUUUUUCUAAACAUAUGACAUGUAUUUAUUGGUUUAUUGUAAAUAACAAAUACUUUUUCUUUCUCUAAUUACUUGUCCAUUUUUCCUUUUUUAGUUGUCCCUAAUUACUUGUCCAUUUUGACAAAUUAUUUUUACCUAUUAUACCCUCAAUUAAUUACUAUGAAAAAGAUAGAACUUCUUGAAAAUCUUAAAUUUUUAAUUCACCCACUUCAUAAUUUAAUAGGGGUAAAAUGGUAAACUCACUAUGUCAAUUAUUGUUUUCUUAAUAGGUGUGUCAAUUCAAAAGUGGACAAGUAAUUAGGGACAGAGGGAGUACAAUUAAGUUUUCACCUAAUCCCAGUUUGCUUGAUAAUAAUUUACUAUGUGGUGUUUUAGCUCUCACUAUCAAGAGGAACUUUAUCCUAACGAUUCAAGCUUGAAAGCUCUUAUUAAAUAUGAGAAAAUUAUGUGAAUACUUAAUUAAUUAGAUUAUAAUUUAGUAUAGAAACAAAAUAAUGAUUUAACUUUUGCCUAACAUUCUUUCCAUUUUUAGUAUAACUAAUUUCUCAUCACAUGCAUAGCACGUGGAGCUUCGACUUCUGAGUAACAACAAAAACUUGGUUAAACAUAUUUUUUAAAUUACCAAAUUUAAACUACAAAAUAAAGUUUAUUAAUGUUUCUUGAAGAACAUUAUAACAAAUUUACUCCUAUAUAUUUUGACAGACGUUAAUUAGUAAAAAAAAUCAUCCAACACUCUAUUAAUAUUUCUUGAAAAACAUUAUAACAAAUGUGUACUUUUUAAAAUUUUAUUGAAUCUUUACUUAAUAUUUAUAUUGAGUUAAAUAUUAGACAUGGUAGCUUUUGCUUUUAUACCUACUAGUCUUUGGGAACGUGCUUUGCACGUUUGUCCCAUAUUAUUACUAUUAUAAAACUUCUUUAUAUUUUAAAAAUUGAAUUAUAAAAUAGAAAUUGUUGAAAUUUAAAAUAUUAAUUCACUUUCCAUGUUUUCUGAUAGGCACACCAUAUAGUUUAAAUGUGAACAUAAGCAAGGUUGGUUAUGUUUUCAAAUGCUUCACAUCUUAAAAUUUAUGUCAUGACUUUCAGAAACUGGGAAUUCCUCCUCUUAUAGUCGUAUGCAUAACAAGAAGUUGUUGCGAAUGAAAGUAGUAUUUUGUAAAUAUUGAACAAAAAGUUGAUCAAUAUAUGUCUUCUUUAAUAUGGCUAUAAUAUCAUUGUCAAUUUUAUAGAAUACACCUAGUAAUAAAAGUAGUAAUUAUAUUAUGACGAAGAUAAUAAAUUAUUACUGACAUCAAAAAAUUGAAUCAAUAUAUAUUAAUUAUAAUUGCAUGUACAUGUAUAUCCUUUCUUUGAUUCAAGAUUAGGAUUUCUUUAACAUAAGAAUAUUAUUUGUAUGAUUGAAAUAUAAUAAGAAUCAAUCUCUAUUCAAGAACAUUUUCUUUCAUAUGAAAAUUUGACAUAAGAGUAUUACUUGUAUUGUUUAAGUAUAAUUGCAUUAGGAAAUACAAUAAGAAUCAAUCCUUAUUAAAGAACAAGGGACUUGAUAUAAAAAGUUGAAAUAUGUAAAAGAUGUUAAAAAGUAUAAGAUCUAAAUAUCCUGAAAAUUAUACAGAUAAUUUCUCAAAUCUAAAAAAUCUUAUUUCUAUAUUACGUUUCCUACAAACUAUAUUUUAUGUAUGUGAAAUAAUAAAAUUGAUAAAAAGAGAGUUGUAAAUAGCAUAUCCAGUAUGUACCGGAUGAUGAGAAGUGAAGAGCACACAGUUUCCAAACAAAAUCUGAAAUGAAGAGAAAUAAAUAAGAAUUAGUUAGCAAACUCAAGGAAAUCUUCAUAUAUUAAAUAUAUAUUGUUGAGAACUAAAAUGAGCAUAAGAGGAAUAAAGUAGUUACCAAUCAACAAUAUAUAUUUAUAUAUUUAAACUUUUAUGGCAUAUAGCUGCUAAUCUAUAUAUAUUAUAUAAAGCUUAAAGAUGAAAGAUUAAUGUGACUUGAGUUGUAUAAAAUCACUGCACAUGCACUAUAUAUUACUCCAAUUCUAUUUGACAAGGAACAUGAAAAGUUCACAUAACCGUUGGAAGCUCAAGGGAAAAAAUAGUAAAUGUGAGAUAUGAAAUAGUAGGAUUGUAAAUUGAGUUUAAGUAAUCUGUAUUAGGUUAAUUAAUGGGGAGAUGAAAAGAUUUUAUCAAUUAAAUGUAGUUAAAUUACUGAUAAAUAACUUUUUUUUAAAUGAUAAAAUGAUUACUCAACUUUUAACUAUUUAAUAUUUUAUUAUUUACAUGUUUUAUAACAUUUUUAUUUAGUCUAGGGGCAAAAUGAUAAUCCAACUUUGAAUGUUGGAGCUUCCCACUUAUAAUAAUAAUAUAUGAUUAUUAUCAAGGUAUGUGGUCCCCACCAAACUAUAGGUCAACUCAUUUUCCCCCUUUUAAAAAUAGGAAUAAUACACGUUAGAACUUAAUAUAAGCUUAGAAUAAUUAUUUAAUUCUACACCAUAACUCCACGUUAUUGCCUCUAUACAAAAAAAAAGUCAAUCCUCUCAAUAUAGCUUGAGGCAAUCCUCCCAAUUUGAAAAGUCUUUGCGUGAACAUAUGUCAUGUAUUUGUUAGUUUAUUGUAAAUAACAAAUACAAAUAAGUUUUCACGUAAUCUAAAUUUGCUUGGAAUGUUUUAGCUCGCACUAUCAAGAGAAACUUUAUCACAACGAUUCAAGCUCGAAACUUCUAAUUAAAUACGACAAAAUUAUAUAUAUAAAGAAAAUUAUAUAUAACAAAACAACUACAAGGGAGAAAUUUUAAUCAUUUCACUGUACCUCUUGAUGUUAUCAAAUUCCCAACUUGACAUGUUUUCAAGUAUAAAAAAAUAUUAUGAAGACAAAGUCUUGUUGGGGGGAAAAGUCAUACUCAUGGAAAAGACAGCUUAAAUUUAUUUAUUUUCCUAUAGCUGUCACUGUAGAAAACUAUUGUUGUACCAUUCUUGUUUGCAAAUCACUCUUAGCAUUCAACAGGUAAAGUAAACUUGUUAGUAAUUGAACAUACAAACAUUUUAUCUUUCUCUAAACUAUUGUUCUCACUUUACUUGUUUUGUUUUGCAGAUUUCAGAAAUGGAGAUUGGGUUAGCAGUUGGUGGUGCAUUUCUCUCUUCAGCUUUGAAUAUUCUCUUUGAUAGGCUUGCUCCUCAUGGUGAUCUGCUCAACAUGUUUUGGAAGCAUAAGGAUCAUGUUCAGCUUUUACACAAGCUGCAGGACAUUUUGCUUGGUCUUCAGAUUGUGCUAAGUGAUGCAGAGAAUAAACAAGCAUCAAAUCGACACGUGAGCCAGUGGCUUCAUAAGUUUCAGAGUGCUGUAGACGGCGCUGAAAACUUGAUAGAAGAAGUCAAUUAUGAAGCUUUGAGGCUUAAGGUGGAAGGCCAGCAUCAAAAUCUUGCAGAAACAAGCAAUAAACAAGUAAGUGACCUUAACCUGUGCUUGACUGAUGAAUUUUUCCUUAACAUAAAGGAGAAGUUGGAAGAAACCAUUGAAACAUUGGAGGUGUUGGAAAAGCAAAUUGGUCGCCUUGGCUUAAAGGAUCAUUUUGGUUCGACUAAACAAGAAAUUAGAACACCUUCAACUUCUUUGGUUGAUGAUUCUGGUAUCUUUGGAAGGCAGUAUGAUAUAGAGAAUUUGGUUGGUCGUUUAUUGUCUAAGAAUACAAAGGGAAAUAAUCUGGCUGUAGUUCCUAUUGUUGGAAUGGGCGGCCUGGGUAAGACAGCACUUGCUAAAGCGGUUUACCAUGAUGAGAGGGUGAAGAACCAUUUUGGUUUGAAAGCUUGGUAUUGUGUUUCUGAGCCAUAUGAUGCUUUGAGAAUAACGAAAGGGUUACUUCAAGAAAUUCACUCAUUUGACUCAAAGGAUGUCCACAACAAUCUUAAUCAGCUUCAAGACAAAUUGAAGGAAAGCUUAAAGGGAAAGAANNNNNNNNNNNNNNNNNNNNNNNNNNNNNNNNNNNNNNNNNNNNNNNNNNNNNNNNNNNNNNNNNNNNNNNNNNNNNNNNNNNNNNNNNNNNNNNNNNNNNNNNNNNNNNNNNNNNNNNNNNNNNNNNNNNNNNNNNNNNNNNNNNNNNNNNNNNNNNNNNNNNNNNNNNNNNNNNNNNNNNNNNNNNNNNNNNNNNNNNNNNNNNNNNNNNNNNNNNNNNNNNNNNNNNNNNNNNNNNNNNNNNNNNNNNNNNNNNNNNNNNNNNNNNNNNNNNNNNNNNNNNNNNNNNNNNNNNNNNNNNNNNNNNNNNNNNNNNNNNNNNNNNNNNNNNNNNNNNNNNNNNNNNNNNNNNNNNNNNNNNNNNNNNNNNNNNNNNNNNNNNNNNNNNNNNNNNNNNNNNNNNNNNNNNNNNNNNNNNNNNNNNNNNNNNNNNNNNNNNNNNNNNNNNNNNNNNNNNNNNNNNNNNNNNNNNNNNNNNNNNNNNNNNNNNNNNNNNNNNNNNNNNNNNNNNNNNNNNNNNNNNNNNNNNNNNNNNNNNNNNNNNNNNNNNNNNNNNNNNNNNNNNNNNNNNNNNNNNNNNNNNNNNNNNNNNNNNNNNNNNNNNNNNNNNNNNNNNNNNNNNNNNNNNNNNNNNNNNNNNNNNNNNNNNNNNNNNNNNNNNNNNNNNNNNNNNNNNNNNNNNNNNNNNNNNNNNNNNNNNNNNNNNNNNNNNNNNNNNNNNNNNNNNNNNNNNNNNNNNNNNNNNNNNNNNNNNNNNNNNNNNNNNNNNNNNNNNNNNNNNNNNNNNNNNNNNCUCUAAGCAAGAGGGUGCAGCAUAACAUACUGCCAAGACUAAGAUCCUUGAGGGCAUUAUCAUUGUCUCAUUACAAGAUUAAGGAGUUGCCAAAUGACUUAUUUAUCAAAUUAAAGCUCCUCAGAUUUUUGGAUAUUUCUCGGACAGAGAUUAAAAGGUUGCCAGAUUCCAUUUGUGUGUUGUAUAACUUAGAGACACUUCUCCUGUCAUCUUGUGAUUAUCUUGAGGAGCUACCACUGCAGAUGGAGAAGUUAAUCAACUUGUGUCAUCUUGACAUAAGCAACACUUCUCUCUUGAAGAUGCCACUAUAUCUGAGCAAGUUGAAAAGCCUCCAAGUGUUAGUGGGAGCCAAGUUUCUUUUAGGUGGUUUGAGAAUGGAAGAUUUGGGUGAAGCACAGAACUUGUAUGGAUCUCUAUCAGUUGUAGAGUUGCAAAAUGUGGUUGAUAGUCGGGAAGCUGUGAAGGCAAAGAUGAGGGAGAAGAAUCAUGUUGACAAGUUAUCUUUGGAGUGGAGUGAAAGUAGUAGUGCCGACAAUUCAGAAACUGAAAGAGACAUACUUGAUGAACUACGCCCACAUAAAAACAUAAAAGAAGUCGAAAUCACUGGAUAUAGAGGGACAAAAUUUCCAAAUUGGCUAGCUGAUCCUUUGUUUCUUAAGCUGGUGGAAUUAUCUCUUAGCAACUGCAAGGUCUGUUAUUCCUUGCCAGCACUAGGAGAACUCCCUUGUUUGAAAUUCCUUUCGAUUAGAGGGAUGCAUGUAAUAACAGAUGUGAUGGAAGAAUUCUAUGGUAGUUUGUCCUCAAAAAAGCCUUUUAACUCUCUUGUGGAGCUUAGAUUUGAAGAUAUGCCGGAGUGGAAGCAAUGGCACCUACUAGGAAGUGUAGAGUUUCCUAUCCUUGAGAAGCUUUUCAUUAAAAAUUUCCCUGAACUCAGUUUGGAGACACCCAUCCAAUUUUCAAGUUUAAAAAGGUUUCAAGUUGUUGGUUCUUCUAAGGUUGGAAUUGUUUUUAAUGAUGCUCAACUGUUUAGAUCCCAACUUGAGGGAAUGAAGCAGAUUGAAGAAUUAUAUAUUAGUGAUUGUAACUCUAUUACCUCCUUACCUUUUAGCAUACUGCCCACUACCUUGAAGAGAAUAAGGAUAUCUGGUUGCCGGAAUUUGAAAUUGGAUCCGCCAGUUGGUGAGAUGAGUAUGUUUCUCGAGGAAUUGAAUCUGAAGGGAUGUGAUUGUAUAGAUGAGUUGCUCCCAAGAGCGCACAAAUUGAGAAUUUGGAGUUGCCAGAACCUUACUAGGUUUUUGAUUCCAACUGCGACUGAAAUACUCAAUAUUUGGAAUUGUGAGAAUCUUGAAAAACUUUCAGUGGCAUGUGGGGGGACCCAGAUGACGUGUUUGAAUAUUUGGGACUGUAAGAAGCUGAAGUGGCUGCCAGAACGUAUGCGGGAACUCCUUCCAUCUCUUAAGGAACUACAUUUGUGGGAUUGUCCAGAAAUAGAGUCCUUUCCUGAAGGAGGAUUGCCCUUCAAUUUACAAGCCCUUCGGAUCAAAUAUUGCAAGAAACUGGUGAAUGGGCGAAAGGAGUGGCGUUUACAGAGACUCCCCUGUCUCAAAAAGGUAACCAUCUUACAUGAUGGCAGUGACGAAGAGAUUGUUGGUGGUGAGAAUUGGGAGUUGCCUUCCUCUAUUCAAAGACUUUUUAUAGAGAAUCUGAAAACAUUAAGCAGCCAACAUCUCAAAAGCCUCACCUCUCUUCAAUCUCUACGUAUUGGGGGUAAUUUACCUCAAAUUCAGUCAAUGUUGGAACAAGGCCAGUUUUUGCACCUCACUUCGCUUCAACGUCUACAAAUCAUUGAUUUCCCUAAUCUCCAAUCUCUUCCAGUAAAAGGGAUGCCAUCUUCCCUCUCUACACUAGAUAUUCGUGACUGUCCAUUGCUCACACCACUACUAGAAUUUGACAAGGGGGAAUACUGGCCAAAUAUUGCUCAUAUCUCCACCAUAAAGAUCAAUGAGAAAUGCCUUUAAUGAUUAAAACAAAUGGUGCUCUCACAAAUGUAAGUUUUUCUUUUUCCUCAUAAGCAUUCUUUUUUCUUUAACUUCCUUUGCUUUUAUGUUAAUUCUUUUUCUUUAUUACAUUCUCGUUGCGCAGUAUGGAGUGUCUAUUGCCACUCUGAAACUGAGAAAUCAUCUUCAGAUUAUAAUUAUUUUAAUUUUAGAUCUCAUUAGCAAUUAAUGUUACAUAUCUUACUCGAAGAUUUUUAUCGCUUGAACUUUCAUCUCAAUAGCAAUUCAUGUGUUCUUAUUAUUUCCCUUUUCAGUCAGUUUAGAGUCAUCCACAUGUCCACUAUCGAAUUCAAAACUAUAAUAGAAUCCAAAGGUGUACCAUACACAAGAUUUGUUUCCUAUGUAUCAAAAAUACAAAUGUUUGCCUCCCAAUAAAUUUAACACCUAAAAGCAUCAGCACUAUUCAGGUUUUUAUUAAUGAUUCAGCCCCAUCAUAGAGAUCGAUUGGGAAUACAUGUGAUGAUUAAAACAGAUGGCUCUCCAACUGAUGUAAGUUAUUCUUUUCCAUCAGAAGCUUUUUAUUUUUGUUUACUUCACUUUGAUUUUUUGUUGAUUCUUUUCCUUUUUAAAACCUUGUUGAGCAGUGUGGAAUGUCUAUUGCUCAAGAAAGUUGAUUGCUUAAUAUAUGUUAGCAGGAUGUCAUCACCUUUGGAGAUAAAGGGUCCAAGAAAUACAACCUCACUUUCUCAAUCAGGUAGCCAACACCUUGAUAAGAGUUACAUCAAGCUUCAAAUUUAAAGAAAGUGAAAACAACUUAAAUUGCCUGAUUCCAUUAUUGACGUCAUGUUGUACCACAUUGAUUUCAAGUUUGAUGCGACUGCAUUAUUACAUCAGUUUUUUUUUCAUAUUCAAAGAUCCAGAAUAUUACAUUAGUUUUUUGGUUUUGAUAUGCAGAGAACUUUGAGGAUUAUGAAGUUUCCUUCAAAUUAUGUCCGUUACUCAACCUCGAGUGGCACCUUACAGCUAGUGGGAAGUCAAGAAAGUAUAUCCUGCUCGGAAUGAAGUCAAGGUUAGAUAAUUAAAUAAUGAUUUACUGGUGUUUCAGUUACUAAGAUGCUUAUUUUGUAGUAAUAGUUUGCACUCUCAUAAAUCAGCGAAAUAGAUUUCCUUCAUUGGCACUCUCAUCAGUCAUCAAUCAGCGAAACAGAGAAAUCAACGGUUUCAAAAUUCUCUGGAACCCAUUUCAAGCUUCACGCCUUCAAUUCUAAUGACACCCAAGACACAGAAGACAUCAACAUAGUAGAAGAAUUCAACCCAAUACCCAUUUCAACCCAAGUUUUCGAUUCCUGCUUCACCUGAUGAGAAGAAGUUUAUGGGUGAGAAAGUUACAAAGCUGAAAAUAUCUUCUUCUAUCUUUUGUUUUACACAUCUUCUGAUUGAGUUAUAAUACAUGCCUCGCUUCUAUACAAGAUGAGAAACCAUAAAAUGCCUUUAUGAAGUGUUUGCGAAGUUGAUGUCACCUAAUUCAGAUUUCACUGAAUUAAUUUUUGAACCAAAUUAAUGCAUAUGUUUGCUCUAACGUUGAAAAGGAAAAACGUUGAAUGAUAUGGAUAUUUUCCUUUUAAGAAUACAAAGUCGCGAUAAAGGUAGAAAAUUUAGAUGGUAUUAAUUUUGAUAUGGAUCACCGUUGAGAACUUUGCCUGAGGUAUUAAAUUCUAUUUUCCCUCUUUAGAAAUGUUUCAUGUAGCUCCUAAUUGUGAUGCUUCAUUUACAUAUUUUUAAAAUUUGAUCAUAUAACAGGGAUAGAGUGUGUCCGAGUCAAUUUGAUGUUACAGACUUGCAGCUAACUGUUGUGCGUUAUAUAAUUGCAUAUUUCUUAGACACCAGAUAUGACCAAGUUCCAUCUACAAUGUUAACAGAAUCUUUGAUAGGUAAAGGAGGCAGACAAAAAAGCUAAACAUCUUUUUUCUUCCGUAUAGCUCCCAGGCAACUACACAAGGCAAUGCUUGAUAUAAGGGCUUUAGAUAUACAUUUGCAGGGUGUUUAUCGUAUGAGUAAGGAAAUCACUGUCUUCGCUCCCAGCAGACAGUGAUUGGAAGAUCCAUCCUCGCAUCACUUAGCACCUUCCAGCAG
rnacentral:lncRNA from 1 species